rnacentral:lncRNA from 1 species
UGAUAUUUUUAGGUUCAAACAUAUAUUGCUUCAAUAGUGAUUUAUUUAAUAGAAUAAAACUGUAACUCAGGAAUGGUGAGGAUUAAAAGAUGAAACUUAAUAGAGGAUUGAUAGUAUGUAGCGCGUGCACGAGGUGUAUAUAUAUAUGAAUGCACUUAGGAGUGGUUUAGUUGCAUAUAGUUAUAACUGUACUGUAGUUAUAACUGCAUGCAAAUACACAUUCGGUGUUUAAUUUGAUAUAUUUAAUUCUAAUUGCUACAGUAAAAAUUACAGGAGGAGACCCAACUGCAGCAGUUCGAACUACGCCCAAAUUGACCGUAGUUCUAACGGCUGCAGUUGAUGAUAAUAACUUUAAAUAAAAGAUAUGCUUAGCUGCUCAAUUAUUUUUUAAACAAAAAUUAUUAUUAUUUUUUACAUUGAAAGUAAUCUCGCCAUUAUAUAUAUAAAAUAAUAAAAUUUUAAAAAUUAUUUCUCAACUGCAUGCAAUCAAAUAAAUUAUUUAUACUUGCAGCGCUUUCUACUACAUCCAACCAAACAUAAUGCAGGUAGUUAUAACUGCUGUAUUUUCAACCGUAUAUAUCUCUAACUAUACUGUAUUUAUAAUUACAUCUAACAAAAACUGCCUCUUAGUGCAUCCAUGUCCCUUAGUGCAUCAAUAAUAUAUAUAUAUAUAUAUAUAUAUAUAUAGUUGAGCUAGAAUGCUAUCGGUAGCAAACUAGCUCCGUUGCCACCCAUUUGUUUUCGAUGAUAGAGUCUUUAAAUUGACGAUCGACACCGUUGAACAUGAUCUAUACCACUUGAAGUAUCUAAAAACCAAAUUUCAAAUCAUUUCGACAUCAUUUACCUAAUGAUCAAAGGGUUUCAAAAUUUGUAAUUUGAAUGGUAGAUAUAAAACGUUUUCUCGUUUAACGAUGUAAAACUAUCCAAAUCAAUUGAAUUUUGGUUAGAAAAUUCUUUAAACUAUUUAGAAUAAGAUCUAUACUCUCGAUCUUGAUUACAAAAUUCAUAUCAUCACUUUUUAGAGAAUAUUCAUUUUCAGCCGUUUAUUUUUACGCUCACUUGAUGGACAAGAGAACAAUAUCGAAAAAAUAUGAAAUUUGAUUUCUAGAUACUUCAAGUGAUAUAGAUCAUGUUCAACGGUACCGAUCGUCGAUUUGGAGGCUCCAUCAUCGAAAACCAAUUGGUGGCAACGGAGCCCGUUUGCUACCGAUAGUAUUCCAGCUCAACUCUCUCUCUCUAUAUAUAUAUAUAUAUAUAUAGUUGAGCUAGAAUGCUAUCGGUAGCAAACUAGCUCCGUUGCCACCCAUUUGUUUUCGAUGAUAGAGUCUUUAAAUUGACGAUCGACACCGUUGAACAUGAUCUAUACCACUUGAAGUAUCUAAAAACCAAAUUUCAAAUCAUUUCGACAUCAUUUACCUAAUGAUCAAAGGGUUUCAAAAUUUGUAAUUUGAAUGGUAGAUAUAAAACGUUUUCUCGUUUAACGAUGUAAAACUAUCCAAAUCAAUUGAAUUUUGGUUAGAAAAUUCUUUAAACUAUUUAGAAUAAGAUCUAUACUCUCGAUCUUGAUUACAAAAUUCAUAUCAUCACUUUUUAGAGAAUAUUCAUUUUCAGCCGUUUAUUUUUACGCUCACUUGAUGGACAAGAGAACAAUAUCGAAAAAAUAUGAAAUUUGAUUUCUAGAUACUUCAAGUGAUAUAGAUCAUGUUCAACGGUACCGAUCGUCGACUUGGAGGCUCCAUCAUCGAAAACCAAUUGGUGGCAACGGAGCCCGUUUGCUACCGAUAGUAUUCCAGCUCAACUCUCUCUCUCUAUAUAUAUAUAUAUAUAUAUAGUUGAGCUAGAAUACUAUCGGUAGCAAACGGAUUCCGUUGCCACUCAUUUAUUUUCGAUGAUGGAGCCUCCAAAUCGACGAUCGACACCGUAGAAUAUAUGGGGCAAUUUCAUAGAUGCCCUUUCUAAACUUUAAAAUAUCAUAUAUACCCUUCUAAAAUUUAAAAUAUCAUAUAUACCCCUGUAAACAUCAAAAAUUAACAUCAAUACCCCUACUGUUAGUUAUUCUAACUUUACCAUAGUUAUUAAAUGGUUAAAGAUGGGUUAACUUUUAAUAUGACUAGUUUACCCUCAACUCCUAUAAGUAAAAAUGCAUGGAGAUCCCUCAGCUAUAUGUCAUUUUAAAACAACUCCCUCAACUUUUAUAUUUUAGUUGACAUCCCAUUAAUUUUUAAUUUUUUAAAAAAUUAACUAAUUUUAGUGAACGUGGAAAAUGAGGACUUUUGUCCAUUUUUUUAAUAUUUAACAAGUAAUCUAGUGGCUCUAUUUAUAUUUAGCAAUAAUAAACUAUGUAUAAAAAAUUAAAUAAAAAAUUAAUGUUGAAGUGCAUUUUUUUUAUCUUUGUUUUAAUCUUGAGAAACUUGCACAUAAAUAUUGUUUUAACCAAAAAUAAUUCACAGAUAAUUUUUAUCUAUUUAAAAGCAUUAGAAAAACUCAAUAUUAAUAUAUUUGCGGGCUUAGAUUGAACAAUAACUCUCUUUUUUUUCAAUCGACGUAAAAAAUGCAUGGCAAUUAUAGUUAUAGUAAUUUAUUUUGAUCAUUAAAUAAAGACAAAAAAAAUCUAGUAUUACUUUUUAAAUUUACUAUACUGAUCAGGGAAUGUGAAUUAAGUUAUAAUAAUAUAUGAACCCAAUUAUGAAAAAUGGGUGAUCUUAAUUGAUGCUGAGCAGGGAUCAGUUUCAGUUUAAUUAGAAGCCAAAAAGAAAUAUCUCAUUAGAUUCAAUUCAGGCAGUUAAAUUGUUUUAGGUCUUAUAUCAAAAUAAAUUGAGCCGAAAUCGAAACAAAAACGAAAACAAAAAUUAUAUAAGAAAAAUAUAUAUAUAAGAUACAUUUUUAUAUAUUUUUUAAUAAUGAAUGAAUAUAUAAUAAAUUUAGUUUAUAUUUAGUAUUAUUAGAAUUAGUAAUUUGAAUUAUUAAUAAUUGUCUUAAAAUACCUAUUAAGUUAAUUUUUUACUAUUGAAUAAGAGAUAACACGGUGUAAAAUGGAUUUAGAAAAUUUAAUCCCCAUUUUAAUCUGACUUUAACUAGUGGAGAGUUAUGUUGAAAAUUUAUUUAUAUUUGGGGGGUAAUUCAUGAAUAUUAUACAAUUUAGAAGCGGGUAUUGUGAGAAAUUAAAAGUCCAAGAAGAGAUACCUAUGAAUUAUACCCUAAUUAAUAUAUAGUUAUAUAAUAUUAUAUAUAUAGAUACUCUCUUAUAUAUAUAUAAUAUAAUAUAUAUUUAUAUAUAUAUGCUUUAAAAAACGUAACUAUGUAUGUUCCAUAAAUUUUUGUACUAAUAUCAAACCUGUCAUGUUUCAAAGAUACGCUGCUGGGGAAGAUGCUUUUAUGACAUGGUGUUUAAUUAUAGUGCAUGCUCUCAAAUAAUUCCUUUUCGUUAAUUUAAACAAAUGCAUCUUGUGAGUACUUUUUACUAUUAACAACCGAAAAAAAAAUGUAUAACAAGUGUAAAAUCCUUAUUUCUUUCAUUGUAUUUAUCGCAUUUACUUUUGAAAUAAUAAUGCACAAGAACCUAUUCGAUCACAACAAAAUGUAUGUCACUUCGCGGGAUAAGAAAUUAAAAUAUGAGAAAUACUUCUUUGUAACAAUUUUUCCUAAUAGAAAUAGAAAAGUACAAUCAAAGAUCUCAUGUUGCACAAAAAUAAUAUAAAAAUAAUUUUUUUCUCAGUAUUAUUUUAACAUAAUAUUUACUUCUGAUCCUUUAUUGUCUCACAUAGCAUAAUAAAAUUAAUUUGAAAUAUUUUAUAAGCGAUGUAACUAUAUUAAUUAUUACAUCCUUUAUAGAGGCUACAAUGGUUGAUGUAAUGAAAUGGUGCCACCUCAGAUCCCACUUUACUUAUACUUUUUGUGGCAAAUGCUCAAGCUAUGCAAAUCAAUAUAAAUAUACCACGAAGAGACAAGGGGAAUAUUUAUAUUUCUUAAGUAUCACUGAUAACGUCACACAAGAUUUGGUUUAUAUAGCAUUUUCUUUCUCUUUUAUUUGGUGAAAGAGGAUUUGAUAAACUAAGUUAAUGAUAUAUAUAUGGAAACAAAGGAAAAAAAGAAAAGCAAAAAUAAUUAAUUAAUAUCUACUCCAAUGUGAUCAUUAAUUUGUGCUCUUAGGAAUGUUCUCUUUAUUGUUUCCACCAGUGGAACAGAUAAGGAUGCAACAUCAUUUAUUGCUUUAGGUAUGAUAAGCCUAAUUUAAGCUUAUCCUCCUCUAUAGCUAUUAGGAUUUUAUUGUCGUCGCAUUAGAAACUUAAUUUGGGGCUCUUUAAGUUUUUAUUAAUAGAACUUAAUGCUAAAUUGCAGUUUAUCCUUCUGAAUACUUUAGUAUAUAACUUUUUUAAAAAAAAUUGUCAAAUGACCAGCUAAAAAAGUGUAAAACGUAGUUUCUGCUAGUAUUGUUUUAAUUGACUUGGGUGUAAUUACUGUGUCAUUCAGGAAGAUAAAAUGCAUAUAUUUUUAUUGUUAGAGUAUUAUAUACGGUGCCAGACACAAAAUAAUUACCAAUUAAGAAGACCAAGUAAGAGUUUGACUUUAUUAAAAUUCGACUAAUUCUUGGUUUUUCCGCAUGAGUUCACAUGAACAAAUCGCCCAAAUAUUGGCAAAAUUACUGAAUUUAAUGUCCUAAUUAUAAGUAUCAAAAUUUUGCAUUUAACUCACAGUGCAUGAUCAUAACCUGGUUGCUUUAUGUAUAUAGCUUGUUAAAAUUGAUCUCCUAGCUAGAUAUUUUAUCCUGAUAAUCAUUAGGAUUCUUUUUAACCACUUUGUUACUCACCUUUUUUAAUAAAUCUCCUAAGUGGGAUUAGCACCUUGUCCUUGGUUUCUUGGGUUCUUGCUUUCUAAAUGGCACAAUAUCAACUGAUGAAACCCACAAAUCUACUAAUAAUCUUAUUAAUAAUGAAAUGGUCCUAAUUCUCAGAAUCUAGCAAUAAGCCUCACUAGGUAACUUAAUCAAGUAGCAUGAUUUAUUUGUUUCUAUAUACUCACAACUAGCAUUAACACAUGUCCACGUGUGAUCGAGAUACAUUGUUUUAGCAUCUCACGCAGGAGAAUCUAUACAUUUCCUGGACCGGGCCUACCAAUUAAAUUACAAAACAUAACCAUGAGGAAAAAGAAUAGUAAUAUCUUAAUAGACAUAAAUGGAUUAUGUGGUUGUUGGAAAAAGAUAUACACACAUAAACACACCAAGGUAUAUGCAUGUUAUGUAUCCUUAAUUUUAACCUCCUAGUCUCAUUUUCAAAUAGUGUUUUUAUGAAUGAAAAGUUACUUUCAUUUCCCAAAUAAUUGAUCUCAUGGAAAAUUGGCCAUCAUUAGUUUUAGGACUCCUGAUAGAUAUUCGAGAAAUUAUGCCAUUUUAGAACGGAAAAUGAACUUACAACUCUUAAAAAGAAGGGGGUUUAGAAAACUCGCUCUAAUACCAUAUGUUUCAUAGAUACAUCUGAUAGGAUACGGAUCUUAUCAAUUUUGUUGAUUAAUAUUUAUGAUCAAGAUAUAAUUGUCUAUCGUCUUAAGUUUUUAGAGAAUAGCGACGACUUUACAUGAUUUUCAAGAGUUCUGAGUUCAGAUCCUACCCGAUUGUUCACUACACCAGGUCUAGGCAAUAGUCUUACAAAAUUACAUGGCAAGAGGUUCCACAUUGCAUAUAUUCAUGGUGGGGCUAGUGUUCCCCUCCUGCGUGGAAUUUUCGUACCCUGCGCGAAUUCGAACGAGCCACGUAUGUGCGCGCACACAUGAUCGCCAUCGCCAUCGCCAUUGCCCACCUACAACUUGCAGUAGGUGGCCUGACGUACUUCUUCUUGAUCUUCCCUGUGCAGCUUAUUCCACGUAGAAUAAAUAACUAAUAAAUCGAUAUUGUUACGAUACAUCAGAAUCGAUGAGAAUGCUAUAUAAUUGAUUCCAAAUAUAAAGUAUAUAACAAAGAAAAUUUAUAUCAUUAUUGUGUUACAGUGCAAUAUAAUCAUAAUUAUAUAUGGGUGGGCAUUGAGAAUAUAUACUUUAUAUGGAGUUAAAAGGGCGAAAAAAGCAUCUGUAAAUGAUGUGUUUUGCUUCUAUAGGCUAGAGGUGGAUAAGGGAGUACUGUUACUACAAAUAUUGAGAAGAUAAAGAAUGGUACUGGCAUAGUGGCCACUGAGGAGGGUGGUGGUUGGGGCUCUGAGGAUAUAUAUAUAUAUAUAUAUAUAUAUAUAUAACUUCAAAUAUUAUUCUAGUGCUUUCAUAUUUUCUCACUUUAACACUUUGUUAUUUAAAGUGUAUCAAUUUAGUAUUAUGUAGUUUUAUUUUUCUUUUUUCGUCAGCUUCUCUUUUAACAUUUUAUUAAGUUAUAUAAAAAACUUCAAAUAUCCCACCUAAUAUCCCACCUAGUUUUAUCGAAUAUUUUUUCUCAAAAAAUGCAAAAUCACAGAGGUGGUUUUUUAAAAAUGAACGGCUGAAAAUAAAAACCUCAUAAAAAAUGAUGAUAAAAGACUUGAAUUUAAGAUCAAAGGUACUGAUCUUACUCUAAAUAGUAAAAGAAAUUUUCUAUAAAAAUUUCAUCAGAUUUGAAUUGUUUUACACCGUUAAAUACACAAACGCAUCGCAUCGGCCAUUAAAUUGUUAUUUUUGACACCUUUUGAUCACUAGCCAAAUGAUAUCAAAAAACUACGAAAUUUAAUUUUCAAGUACUUUUAAUAGCAUAGAUCAAGUCUAACGGAGCCGAUCGUCGAUUUGGAAGCUGUUUCAUUGAAAACAAUUUGAUAGUACAGAGACCUCCGUACUACCAAUAGUAUACCAGCGCCUCUCUCUCUCUCUCUCUCUCUCAUCCCCUUCCAUCCUCUGCUCUCUUCUCUCUCUCUCUAUACUAUAUAUUAUAUAUGAUAGUAUAGAUAUAUAUUUUAUUAAUAUAAUAUAUUAUCGUCGUAAUCUCAAAGCUAAUUACCAGUCCCUAUAAUAUAUCAUUAUACUAUAUAUAUAUCAUAUAUAUAUAAUUAAUAUAUAUAUAUAUAAUAUAUAUAUCAUCUUCUCCACCCUAUGUAUUAAUUUGAAGGGGAUCACAUGUUACAUCACUCAAAGCAAAGUAAUAAUAGUACUGCUGUUCUCCACUACUGGAGCCACUUGUGGGUAAAAGCAAAGUGUUUGCUACUUGUGGGGCAACAUGGAUGCAUGCAUGUAGUGAUUAUUUGACACAGGCCUAAACGGCUUUGAGAGUUAAAAAGUAUAAGGACGAAAUGAGAUAUACACGAAAAAUAUAAUUUUUCAAUAGAACGAAAAUAUUUUUAAUUAACUCUGUAAACUAAUUAUGUUAAUUGAACAUCACGUAUGUAUAUGUAGAGUCGAAAUUUAAAAAUAACUAAUAUAUCUCGAAAUUUAAAAAUUUUAAUAUAUCACUAAAUUUAAAACGAUUAGAAAUAACCAAAUAAUUGGACUCAAACUAAAAAAUAGUAGAAAACUUUUUGAAUAUAAUAUAAAAAUGCAAAAACGGAAGGCUAAACACUUGAAUUUGAGCCCAAACUCAGAUAGAACCGUUUUAUGCAUGGUUCAACUCACAAAUCUCAAAUUAUAUGUAUUUUGCAGAAUUGAGAUUUUUGCGUUAACUUUUAGUAUUUUUAGAAUCGAGCAAAAAGUUAUAGCCAUUUAAAUAUUUUCCUCACCGAUUGUAAAAAAUUGCCGAAUUCAAUGAAAUUUUUGACUAGUUUGGUUGAGUCACAAUUUUUAGAAACUCUAAUCCUAACUUGGCCACAUCAUUAUUGUAGUAUACCCUCUAUGUUAAAUAUGUCUCGAAUUCUAAUACCGCAAAAUUUUCUAACUCUAUUCUAUUUUGAUUAUCCCAUUAAGUUAAGUUUAGAUUAUGCCUAAUUUUAUUCAGAUAUUUCGAAUCUUAGUGAUUUUGUAUUCCUAGUUGUAUUAGGACUUAGCCACUAUUAUAAAUACACCUUUUAUUCUAUUGGUUUAGUGCGAAAGAUAAGAGGAGAAAUAUGGAUGUAUUUUUGGAAUUAGGGUUUUAUAAGAGAGACAUAUUUUGUAUACCUCUUUGAUUAUAAUGAAGAUCUCUGCUCCUUCGUCCAUGGACGUAAGUCAAUGGUCGAAUCAUGUAAUUAUUGUGUGCUUUAUUUUUCUUCUCUGUUUCUCGGAUCUCUUUUAGUAUUUUCGCACCCGACGAACUAUAUCCACUACAACCAAAUUAUGUUAUAGGGACACAUGUUUGGAACAUUUUUGUGUAAAUGUCCCAUUUAUGCCAAAACUUUUUAAAAAAUCUACUAAUACCUAAAUAUAAAGUCCAAUCGAACCAAAAAUAAAAUGUUUUUCUACUCAACCCACCCCACCCCACUCCACCCCACCCAGCCCAUUUGGCCCGAUUACAAACAGAAAAGGAAAAAAAAAAGAAAAAUCGAUUACCAUUUCCCCUUCUCCCCUCACUCAAUUCACUGAAAUCCUACACAAAGAUCCUCUGCCACCGCAACAAACGAGGUAGAGUUCCGACGGUUGCUAAAUACUUAAAUAAGUAUUGAUAAAUUAGCAGCACUCUUUUUAGGUUAUAGCGGCACUCUUUAAUUGUCACUAUACACCUAGCGACCCCACAUAUGGCAACACUUUUUAAAAGUGUCGGUAAUUUAACCAGCAACACUUUUUUUGAUCCAUAUCGAUAUUUAAAAAUGUCGUUAUACACCGUUUUUAUUGUGGUGAUCUUUUCGGUUUUAGUUCUAACACUCUAUACGUAAAUGAUGGGCAUAUUAAUUUGGAUGCAUGGAUUUGUUGUUAAACAUAUUUCUUUGUUAUGGUCACUCAAGAUCCGUAUGGGAAUCGAAUGAUGGAAAUAUAAAAAAAUGUUCAUAGCUAACGCAUAGUUUUUAAGCCAUCAACUCCGAUAUUAAUUGUUAGAUAAGUUUCGGUUUAUUUCAAAUCCGUAUAAUUAAGUUCAAAAAUAUGUCAUAUAUAUAUAUAUAUAUAUAUAUAUAUAUUAGAACUCUAACCAAUCUAAAAAGUUUAAGCAUGAUGAUUUGGAUUUAUUAGUAUAUAUUAACUCUCUACACUAUUUAACUUUUAAUCCAUGUGGGACAUCUAAUUAAUAACAUGUGAAUUUUUAACACAUAUGUAUAAACUUGAUUACUUGAAAACUAAAUAUUGUUUCAACAUCCGAACAGAUUCAUCACAUGUUCAUUGAACCUGUAAUUUAUACUUUACUAUAUAUAUGGGCACAUAUAUAUACAAUGGAAUUUUUUAGUAGAUCAUGUAUAGAUGUAUGAGUAUAACCAUGUGGUAUAUAUUGGAACCUUUUCUUAAUUAUUAUUAUAUGGUAAAAGAGAGUUUGUAAAUAGCAUAAGCAUUCAAUGGUUUAUAACUUAGUGAGAAAUUCUUGGUGGGGAACCUUUGAAUCUGUAUAACUUUGGGAUAUAAUUGGCCUUAACUAGGAAGGGGCCCAAAUAUGGAAAAUACUUUUUGAGACUCCAUAAUAUCGCCCUUACAGAAUCAAUCGAAGUACUAAAUGUUAACACACUGAUAAAUGAUAUCGAAAGGUGAAGCAAGUAGAACUCUACACAUACUUUCUGUCUCUAUUAUGCACCCCUUUGCUUCUAUAAGGAGCGAAAUUCAAGUUCAGGUCAUAUGCCCGAUAAAAAAUUAACCAACUUCUCUAAACAGUGAUGGUGAUGAUUAGGGGUUCGAUCGACUCUAAUUACGCGUGUGAAGUAUAUGCGCAUAGACUAAAAACAACUUCACACAAAAAAAAAAAGUUUCCGCGGCCAGUAACCUAAUUCAUAUUGGGCUUAGUUUUCGUGGCCCAAAGUAUUCAAAGGGCCGGUUUUGUGGUGGGUCCAAAGUAUUCCAUUUGGGAGCUGAAAAACAAUGGGCUUUCUUGAUUACGGCCCGCAAAAAUUGCGGUAAGAAGCCUGAGCUUCUGCAGCGGACAGAGCAGAUUGCAGUUGCCUGUAUACUCCUGAAAAGUUUUCGACAUUCUAAUUUAUCCUUAUUAGGCUUCGUUUGAGAUUGCGGGAAGAUUGUGUUACGUGCGGUGAGAAAGUACGAUGUAAAAAUAUCAUGUUUGUUUUCGUACGUAAUAUUGUGUUCCGUAUAUCACGAUGAGUCGGUUACGAUAUAUUUUCUGUAGUUCUACCGGAGAACGCUGAAGCAUAUUCCUAUAUGCUUUUACUCCAAUUCCAUUUUAUCUAAUAGCGUUAGAUGGACCUAGAAGACUAAUAUUAAAAAUACACUUUUUACGUUUCAAGUUAUUUCAAAUAUAUCCUUAGAGUUAAAUUCUAUUAGUGAACGGCUAGCAAUAUCCGUUAUUUCUAUGUAAUUACCAUUUUGCCCUUUCAAGUAUAUCUUUCUGCCAUCAUCAACUUUUCUUAUUUGUCUUUGAAUUAGGGGUAAAAGAAGUAUUUUGAUUUUUGAUUUGUUCAAAUAUACUCUGCUAUCAUUACUAAUUUUUCUUAUUUGUCUUUAAUUUAAGGGCAAAAGAAAUAUUUUGAUUUUUCAAAACUCUGAUCAAUAUUUAACUUCACGUUUAAUCCGAGAUAAUUUAACGGGUGGUAACUACAGAGUAUUUUCAAAUAACAGAGAAACAUAUGAGAGGUAUAUUAAAAACAAAAAAAAAGAAUAAAUUAAAUAUUUUUAAAGUUUUGAGGGGUAUAAAGAUACUUAUUCCUGUGAAACAUCCGUUGUACUCUAAAAGCUUAAGCCUCCCCCUCAUGUCUGGACUCGAGACUUUUUAAUCGGCCCAUGACGUGAGCUUGAAUUAAAUAGGAGGAAAUUAAUAUGCUAGGAGCCUGGCAUGACUCGAACUCAGGACCUCCUGCUCUGAUACCAUUUGAAACAACCGUUGUACUCUAAAAGCUUAAGCUGUUAGAGAACAAUGUUUUAAACAUUUUUAUAUUUAACAAUUCCUUUCAAAAUUUUAACAACUUGUGAAGUGACCAGGAACCUUCUGGGGUGUUUGAUGAUCAAUAGGAGGGGAACCAACUGCUGCACGUCAAACUACAUGCUUUUGGGAAACUAGUCGACUUAGAGGAGAUACAUUAUGGAAGAAGGAGCUUGCGACUAUUCCUUGCACCUGGUGAGUUAUCUGGCUCAAAACAAAAUAGGCGUAUCUUCUAAAAGUUAAAACAGUCGCAACAGCAGAUGUUACUACAAGCUGUCCGGAAUGCACGAGAUCUGGCAAAUUAGGUGCAGUUGGUACCUACCCCUAAGUACCUCCGGCGAGGUGUCUUUUUUUGUCGUCUUUUUCACUCUUCUCCCGGGGAUUUUAUAUUCUUCCCCUUUUUUUUCCUUUUCUCUACUCUUAUUUUAUUUUUCAAGACCCGAUUGUUUCAUCCUGUAGUUAAGUUCACUAUCUAAAUAAAUAAAAUGGCAGCAAGCCGUCUAUUCCUCAAAGGAGUUUUUUUUUUUAACAAGGAAUGUGAACACAAGUGUGAAAGCUCUACUAUCAUGAUGGCGAUAGGCGAAGUAUGAAAGCACGAGGGUCAUGGAAUACGGACCAUUUCGGCCCUUUGGUCAUUAGAAAGAGAAGAUAUUUUAUUGGGGAAACUUCAAAAAACCCCCUGUGGUUUCCAACUUUCUCACUUUAGUACCCUGUGAUUUAAAGUGUAUCAAUUUGCCUCCUGUGGUUUUAUUUUUAUUUUUUCUAUAGCUUUUCUCUUAAUAUUUUAUUAAAUUAUAUAAAAAAAAACAUCAGAUAUCCAUCUAGAUUUACCGAAUAUUUACUUUAGUACCCUUUAAUUUUAAUUUUGUCACUGAUUUAAAAAAACAAAAAAUAAAAUUGGUAAAAAAAAGAGAAAAUCAAAACCACAGGGGGCAAAUUGAUACACUUUAAACCACAUGGUACUAAAAUAAGAAAAUGCGAAACCACUUGGGGGUUUUCUGAAGUUAUCCCUAUUUUAUUGUAUAUAUCUAUCCAAUUCAUGCACUACAUUCAAUAUUUAAUAUCUAAAGAUGUAAAGGCCAUUAGAAAAAAAAAAUUAUUUCGUUGUAUUUUGCAACUUCGGACCAUUCGUAUUGAGAACUAUCUAAUGUUAUUUGACUAAAACAAAAUCACGACAAAAAUAUAUGUUUGAUCAGUUUAUCUGGUUAGCUCGUAUAAUUUCUGAUAUAUGCAACGUGAUAUUUUUUUUUUUUUUUUUUUUACAAAAGUAAUCAAAUUAUUUUUUCUGCAAUCUUAGACAAUGUAGGAAUUCUUGAGAUUGAUAAUUUACUAUCAAAACAUCAAAUAGGUAUAAAAAAUUAAUGGUGUAAUAAAAAAUACAGCUUAAUUAGUCCGAAAUUUGUGAUUGUAUAUAUUUAUUUUGAAUCUCGUAGAGAACAUCUUAGGGUCUGUUUGGUCUAGCUUUUGAAUAAAUAUUUUUUGCCGAAAUAAUUUUAGCUCGGAGAAUUACUUUUAGUUAAAAAUCAUAGAGCAUUUGCUUGAACCUGGAAUGAAAGUGAUCUUUCUAAAAUAAUUUUGUAAAACUGUUUAGUAAAUAUUUUAAUAUAAUUUUAUAAAAUUUAAAAUUUAAAAUAUAAUUUAAAUUUAAAAAUUGAAUCCAAAGUAAAAAUUUAAAUUCAAAAUUUGAAUCGAAGAUUAGAAUCAUAUUUUAGGAAGCAUGUUUUAGUUACUUCUGUUUUUGGGUUUCUAAAAUUAUAAAACUGAUUCCAAAAAUCAGAAUCAGAUUUUACAAAAGAAAACUUUGGUGAAGAAAAAAUUAUUAAAACUAAUUCCAAAAAUUAAUACACAAGAAAACUUUGGUGAAGAAAAAAUUAUUUUUUGAGCCUAAAAUCACUUUAUAGAGUAGGCCAAACACCUUCUAAGCCUACUUACAAUUAUAAAAAAAAAGGGUAUAUUACCUAUUUUUAGUUUCGACGCUUUGGUAAAAAAAAUUAAAAUGAAAAAAAAAAGAGAGCCAGAAAAAUAAAAAAGCAUUAAAAUGAAUUAAUAAACGUGGACAUGACCAUGACUACAAAUUAUCUCCAUAAAUAAUAUCUUAGAUAAUAACCUUAAAAAAGGUGUUAUCAAGUGAAUUAAUGUCAACAAUUUUCUUUUCUUUUUUUGUUAAAAAUACACAUGAGUAGGGGUGUAAACGAGCCGAACAUGAGCUGGCUCACGAGCUGGCCAACGAACAAUAAAUAAAAAAAAAUUAGAUUAAAUAUAUAUAAAAAAUAAUUUUAUAAAAUCUUAUCCAUUAAACUUUGAUCUAAUAGUUGAAACUUUACAUAUAAAUGAGUUUUUUUAUAAUUAAGCUCGCAUUUAUAUUUUUAUUUUGCUAAAAAUUAAAUAAUAAAAAUAUAUAUUAUAUAUAAUUAUUUAUUUAUAUAUAAAAAUAUAAAUUAAAUAAAUUAUAUAAAUAUAAAAUAUAUGUAUUCGAACUGUUAUCGAGCCGAACACAAGCUGGCUCGCGAACAGCGAGCUGGAUUGCCACCCUUACACAUGAGUAGAAAUUUUUGAAAUUUUAUUCCAAGCAAUUACAGUAUUCUGACGCAUCCGAUAGAAAGAUUACUCUUAUUAAUUACACAGAAAGAUAUAAAUAAAUAUAUAUAUUUAUUAAAGUUUGGUGUUGACCUUACUAAUUUGUGAUGUGGGGACAAAGGUUAGAAAUGGUUUGAAAGCUUCUUCUUUCCACCACCCCCACCACCACCAUAAAUAAAAUUACAUUAAAAACAAAGAGUCCUUGCAGGCCUGCAACUUCAAGAGGAGUAACAUAUUAAUAGCAUGCUAUUAGACAAUUCUAAAAUUAUCUAUCAUUCCACAUCAUAUUUCCUUAAAAUAAGUCUCUCUCCCUUUAACUAACAAUGCACUUUACCCCUUAAAAACAAUAUACAUAAAUAUUUAUUUAUAUGAUAGAGUACGUUUCCUCUCGUGUUUUUGAAAGUACAGAGAUUUCCGUGCUUACAAGUUGUUUUAGAUGAUGAAAUAUUCGAUUCGACGAUCAGUUUUGUUAUGAAUCAUUUACGUUAUUAGGACUGUUUAGAAAUAAAAUUUUAUAAUUUUUCGAUUUUUGUUUAUCGAGUGAUCAAAAAAUCUCAAAAAAUAAUUACUUUAACGGUCGAUGUGAUACGUUUGUAAGUUCAAAAAUGUAAAAGAAUUCAAAUUAUAUAAAAUUUUAAUAGAAACACUACUUUAAGAAUAAUACUUUCGAUUUAAAGUUUAAAUUUUUUAUUACUAUUUUUUUUUAACUCUCUCUCUCUCUCUCUCUCUCUCUCACACACAUUUAUAUAUGGGUUUAUUUCAUUUGUACUCUAUUAUUCUCUUGUGGUGGUCUUCUCCCUUGUGUUUCUUGGGCUUUGUGAAGAGAAAUUCUGGGUACUUGCUCUUGCUCACUCUUUUCUACUAUUUUACUUGCAAUUUCAGCAUGGAUUCAACUUCACUCAAUGUAUGAUCUUGCAAUUUGUAUUUGCUCCUGCAAGUUGGGUUUUAUUUUCUCUGCUCAUUACUGGCAUUUUUCCAUUUAAGUUAGGAGUGAAAAAUGGGUUAAAAAUGGGUUUUGCUCCAGGUAUUUGAUCUUGGCCUUUUCCCUACUUACUUGUCAACUUCCUAGGGUUUCUGAGACAUGGGUUUCAUUUUUGGGCAUUGCAUGUUGCUGUUCUUGGUUUGGAUCCCACAAUCUUUGAGCUUAAACUCAGAUGGACAAGCCCUUUUAGCCUUAUCCAGGAGUUUAAUGCUACCAUCAACAAUAAACUCCACAUGGAACUACUCUGACCCAAAUCCCUGCAACUGGGUUGGUGUUCACUGCAGCAAGAGCCAAAGAGUGGUGUCUCUGAAUCUGUCAUCUGUUGGGGUUUCUGGUUCUUUGGGACCUGAGAUUGGUCAGCUGAAGCAUCUACAAUUUGUUGAUGUCAGUUUAAACAAUGUUUCCGGCUCGAUCCCGCCGGAGCUCGGCAAUUGCACUCUUCUUGAGCAUAUCGACCUGUCGAGCAACUCGCUUUCCGGCGAAAUUCCGGCGGAACUCGGCAAUUGCACUCUUCUAGAGCAUGUCGACCUGUCGAGCAACUCGCUUUCAGGCGAAAUUCCGGCCACCCUUCGUAACCUGCAUAGGCUGUCCUAUCUGUCGCUUUACAGCAACUCGCUUGGCGGAAAUAUACCCGAGUCGCUGUUCCGAAGCGCUAGCCUUGAGACGGUCUACCUCAACGAGAACAAAUUCACCGGCUCGAUCCCUUCGAGCGUCGGAAACAUGAGCAGUGUCAGAUACCUCUGGCUUAGUGACAAUCUCUUGUCCGGUGUUUUGCCGGAUUCAAUUGGGAAUUGUACUAAACUGGAGGAGCUCUAUCUAUUGGAUAACCAGCUCGCGGGUCCUCUUCCGAGUUCUUUGAGCGGCGUAAAAGGGCUUAGAUUUGUUGAUGUUAGUAGGAAUUUCCUGGUGGGAAAGAUCCCUUUCGGUUCGGACGAUUGCAGUUUGGAAGAAUUGACCUUGUCGUUUAACCGUUUCGAAGGUGAGAUUCCGGUAGGGUUGGGAAAUUGUGGUAAUAUGACGCGAUUUGCUGCUGUUAAUAAUAGCCUUUUGGGCCAAAUACCACCCUCGCUUGGCAAAUUGACCGAGCUCUCAAUUCUUUACCUAUCUAUGAACUCUUUGUCAGGGCCGAUUCCCGCUGAGAUUGGAAAUUGCAGAUCAAUGACACAAUUGGAGUUGUAUGAGAACCAACUCGAGGGGCCUAUCCCGAAAGAACUGGGGAAAUUAAGGAAUUUGGAGCGGCUAAUGCUCUUUACAAACUUUUUAACGGGAGAAAUUCCUGUUGAGAUCUGGAGGAUACCAACUCUUGAAAUGGUCCUUAUUGACGGCAAUGACCUCUCUGGAGAGCUCCCUUCGGAGAUGACCAAACUUAGAAAUCUUAAAAACAUUUCUCUCUUCAAUAAUCGCUUUACUGGAAUUAUACCUCAAGGUUUGGGAAUCAAUAGUAGUUUAGUUCUGAUCGACUUCACGAACAAUAGUUUCGUUGGCGGAAUCCCGCCAAAUAUUUGUUUUGGGAACCAACUAACUAUUUUAGAUAUGGGGUUUAAUUUGCUAAAUGGUAGCAUUCCUCCCAAUCUUGGGAACUGUUCGAGUUUGGAAAGGGUAAUUCUUCAAAAUAAUCGGCUCACUGGUUCGAUUCCGGAAUUUGCGGCAGAUUCCAAUAUACAGUUUAUGGAUCUAAGUUAUAAUACAUUGAGUGGUGAGGUUCCUUCGAGCUUGGGGAAUUGCGUAAAUCUCAGCAUGAUAAAUUGGUCGAAUAAUAGGCUUUCCGCAGAAGUGCCAUGGCAAAUAGGAGACCUAGUAAAUCUCCAAGUUCUGAACCUCUCUCAUAACAAUUUGUACGGUCCACUUCCUCUUGAAAUUUCGAAAUGUGCCCAAUUAUAUGUACUGGAUUUGGGUUUCAAUUCUUUUAACGGCUCGAUUCCAGUGAGUCUAACCAACUUAACGCUUCUCUCUCAUUUACUAUUACAAGAGAAUCGAUUCACCGGAGGAAUACCAGAUUCUUUAUUGCAAAUUGAUAGAUUGAUUGAAUUGCAAUUGGGUGGAAAUAAUCUCGGAGGCAGUAUUCCUUCAACAUUGGGCGCAAUAGUCAACCUGGAAAUUCUGAAUCUAAGUGGCAACGAACUGAUCGGUCAAAUUCCACCACAAUUUAGUAAUAUGUUAAAGCUACAAAACUUGGAUUUAUCUCUCAAUAAUCUCACCGGAACUGUUGCUUCUCUAGCUGAUCUGAAUUCAUUGCUUGCCUUGAAUAUCUCAUAUAACCAUUUCACUGGACCAGUGCCUGAAAAUUUUCUCAAGUUUUUGAACUCCUCGCCUAGCUCAUUUGUUGGCAAUCCAGGCCUUUGUAUCUCUUGUUCAUCUUGCAUCGCGAGUAGUGUUCUGGAACGAUGCAGUUCAUCGAGCAGUACGAAAGGAAGUGAUAAGAUUAAGAUUGUGUUAAUCGUUCUUGGGUCAGUCCUCUUUUGUGCGCUAGUAUUGCUCAUGCUUAGUUGUAGCGCUUGCAAGUGUAAAAGAACGAAAACAGAUGAAGGACCGUCCCUGCAUGAAGGGUCUUCUUUCCUAUUUAACAAAGUCAUGGAGGCCACCGAGAAUUUGAACGACAAGUACGCAGUCGGAAGAGGAGCUCAUGGAACCGUCUACAAGGCUUCGCUGUCCCCUGCAAAAGUGUAUGCUAUCAAAAAACUCGAUUUUGCUUCACAAAAAGGAGCAAAUCUGAGCAUGGAAAGAGAAAUCCGAACACUUGGCAGAAUCAGGCACAGGAACUUGGUGAAGUUAACCAACUUUUGGUUGAGAAGCGAUUACGGAUUGAUUCUUUAUGAGUAUAUGGAGAACGGAAGCCUUCAUGAUGUACUUCAUGAGAUUGAGCCCGCGCCAGUUUUGGAGUGGAAACUGCGGUAUAAAAUAGCUCUUGGGAUCGCCCAGGGUUUAGCUUAUCUUCAUGAUGAUUGUAGGCCAGCUAUAAUUCAUUGUGAUAUCAAACCGAGGAACAUAUUGCUGGACAAUGACAUGGAGCCGCAUAUAUCGGAUUUUGGCAUUGCAAAGCUUAUUGAUCAGUUUUCUGCUUCCCAGUGCUCUGCAAUCAUGGGUACUAUUGGAUAUAUGUCUCCAGGUACAAAAAUUUAAAUAAUGCUGAAUUCUAAUGAAUAGACAUAUUACUAUAAAUCUUUGGAUAGUUGCUAUAGUAUCAAGAAAUUGCACCUUAGUCUCUGAACUUUUCCCUUAAACAUUUUAGCCGUUUUGCAGGGAAAACUACAUCUUUUUGCCAUUAGCGAUAGAAAUUGCUGUACAUGAGAAGCUCGGGAACUUGAGUGUUUAAGUGAAGAGUACAGAGACUAAGUUUUGCAAUAUCUGGAUAGUGAAGGGUCAUAUUAUUGUUUGAUUUUGCUACUUUAACUAAUACUAUUUCUUUGGCACCAACUAUUGCAUCGUCAAAUUUCGGUUAACUUCAGAUCAGUCUCAGAACUCGUAAGAAUAUUUUGCUGCAUCUUCCCUUUUAAUAUAUGCGUUGUGAUUUUCAGAAACUGCAUUUACUCCGAGGAGGAGCAAGGAAUCAGACGUAUACAGUUAUGGCGUUGUCUUACUUGAAUUGAUAACCAGAAAAAUGGCUUUGGAUCCUUCUUUUCCCGAAAACACAGAUAUAGUAAACUGGGUUUCUUCUGCAGUGAAUAAUGAUUAUGAAAUUGAAGCAGUUUGUGAUCCAAAUCUUAUGUCUGAAUUAAUGAGCUCUGUCGAAAUGGAAGAAGUGCGCAAAGUACUUUUGCUGGCUGUAAGGUGCACAGCUAAGGAGGCGGGUGAAAGGCCCCCCAUGAGAAAUGUUGUAAAAGAGCUAAUAGACAUCAAGUCAAAUUCUGGUGAUCUGCAGAAACAAAGGAAAUCGUAAUCUGAGGUGUUGUAACACUCUUUCUUGUGUUCUUUUGUUUACAAUUGCCCGUAGCCGUAUAUAAGUAGCUUGUCUCAACUAUUUUGGAUGUCCUUUUCUUUUAUACAUGAGCCAUUAACAUGUCCUUUUCUUUUUAACGACUUUGGAUGUCCUUUUCUAUGACGAUACCAGUUAAGGAAGAUGAAAUGUCUUUAAUGUGUGAAUGCUAUUGAUAAGCUGUGGCACCUCUAAUUGUUAUACUUGUUUUACAAGUUUAUGAUUACUGAUUAAUCCGCAAAUUCAUCUGCAAUCUAUCAGCUGGAAUGACGAAACCCAACUUUGUUGAACCACCCAUGAAACAAUCGUCUAUGAUAGGUUUCUGAACAUAAAGUACUGCAGCUGGUCCAUCAAAUAUUUAACAUUAUUGUAUAGUUUUUACAUAUUCUCAUUUUGAUGUGUCUAUGCUUGUUUGGUAGUUUUCUUAACUGGUGGAUAAUAACAAUCGACUUAGUAAUAUGUAAAAAAAGACUUGGAAGCAUCUGAAUUCCUUAUCUUUUGUUGAAUUGUUUAUCCUUUCGCCUUUCGUUAAACACGGCACACAUCUUGGCCUUUAUUGUCCUAAGUCUUCGUUGGAAUCACAGGUUCAUGGAAUUUCUUGGCUCUUGCUGGCUUCAUCUGAUUUAUUCAAGUCCUACCAAAUUGCUAUCAAGUCCCAGUGAAGACAAACGGUUUGGUCGGCAAAUAACGUGUUUCUACUCUUUCUGCACUUCAACGUGCAUGCACCUGUGUUUUCAGGAGCUGCUUCUCCGGCGCGACCAAAGCUUCUGCAUACGUACUGUUUAAGUAGAGUUGUUAGAAAUGUUCCUCUAUCAGCAAAAGAUUGAGAUCUCUUUGUUUGUCGAACGUCUGCGUGUUGGUUAUUGGAGAAGAAAAGCUGUUUCAGAAAGCAGGCCGAAUAGGCAAAAGUUGUUGAUAGACAUAAUAGAUGAAUUGAAGCUAGACAUCCUGUUGGAAGAAUUUAUCUUGUCUACGAAUGCUGCAACCUUCGUUGUCACUUGAAAGCGACGAACCGCAGGGCGUAGGCCUUGCAAUUAGUAAACUCUCAUGCUCGCAUAAUAGGUUAUGACUUCAAGUCUCAGAUACAGGGUUUUCUGGGUGUCCUCCUGAAAGAAGGAAACACAAAAAGAGAGAAAAAAAAGUACUUGAAAGCGAUCGGCCGAAUUGAAUUCAGUAUAACCCAGCCCCAUUCAAGAAGCAAGAAGAAUCUGAGCAGUCCUGUUCAGGUAGUGAUGUUUCUCGAGCCGAGCCGAAGUUGCGGGGAAAUUACUUUUGUCUUAGUUUGCUCUUCUGAGUUUUCUGUUGACAAUUUCUCUUGUGAUUAUGGUCAAUUGUAAGUUUAAUUUUGUACUACAUAGCUAAAUUUAAUCAUUCUGAGUGAGAAAUUGUGGCUGGUUAAUUUUGCGCAAUCAUAUCAAUUUGCAGUAGCAGGUAGUUCAAGUUAUGUGACAUCUGUGUUGCUUCUGCUGAAAAAAGAAAAAUCUAAAUCUUGUGACACAGCGCAGAGUAGAAAUGAAGUUUUAAAAUUUAAAAAGUAAAAGAUCUAAUUUGAUAUUCGGGUUAUAAGAAAUCGUUGGAAGUAUUUUAAUAUAGUGCAUCUUUUAACAGCAUUAUUUUCAUUGAUACUUCUUAAUUAAAAUUUUAUUAGUUAUUGUAGUUUGCUAAAUAUUUUUUAUAUGGGAAGAUAAAAAAGUGUAUUAAAUCUAAUAAUUCUACUAGCUGUUACUCAUUAAAUAUUAUAAAUUAUCACAUUUGAUAAAGUUGAUGAAUUUAAUAUAAUUUUUGAUCUAUUUGACUAACAAGAAGGAGGAGAAGAAAUUAAGCAUAUAAUGACUGGGUCAAAUCAAAAGAAAAGCGACUUCUCUACUGGCUCAAUUGACUUUGACUUAAUUAAUUAAUCAAUUAUUUCCAAAAAUUACAUAUAUGUAAUGCAAGUUUGUUGGAAUUCAUGGCCUACUGGUUUGGUGUCGCGUUAACCAUCCUAUUUUUUAUUUACUCCUCUUAGAAAAGGCUAAUAUUAAAAAUAUUUUUUUAAAGUUUCAAAAAUUUUCAAAUAUAUUUCUAUAGUUAAAUUCUAUUUUAUUGAAGUGUUAGAAAUAACUGUUAUCUCUGUAAAAUUAACAUCUUGUCCUUUUAAAUAUAUUCUUCUACCGUAACCAACUUAUCUUAUUUGUCCUUAAGUUACGAGCAAAAUAGGUAUUUUUACUAUUUUUUUAUUAUGGUAAAAAUUUAACUCAGAUUUAAUCCGAGAUAACUUAAUGAGCACUAACAAUAGAAGUAUUUUUGAAUAACGGGAAAAAAUAUAUGAGAGUCAUAUAUAUUUGAGAUUAAAAAAAAGAGAUAAAUAAAAAAUUUCAAAAGUUUUGAAGGGUAUAUAGGCAAUUCUAUUUUUUUUAAAAGUUUAAACUCUUAGAUCGAGAAUGAUAUUAUUAUUAUUAAUGUAUGCAACAAAGAAUCUACUAGCUGGAGAUGCGAAGCAACUAAAAUUCGAAUUCAGGACUUCAGAUACUAACGAGUAAAAUUUUUGCCACUUACGCUAAGGACAAUCAGUGUAAUGUUAUAAUUAGUUGCUUAAAAAUGAGUCAUAAAUUUUAAGUGAUGUAUCUCUAAACUAAUAUCUUCUUUAACUGCCUAUCUAAUAUUUAUCUGCAUGCAUGCUUGUGAUAAAAAAACAUGAUGAACGGUGAAUUUGACCAUCAUUAUUUACUAGUGCUGCUUUAAAAUUCGGAAAAUAUACGCUACACUAUAAAAGAUAAAUUUGAUGUUUUUUCAGUAAAAGUGAUUUUCAUUAAAUUUUAGAUCCGAAUCGAUCACUGAUGGCGAAAGGUCUACUGAUAUCUCGUAGUCGAUGAUUCUUUGCCCCAUUCUAUUUCUUUCCGUGCACGUUUCCAUUUAAUUCAUAUAAAAAAAAUUCCUAGUUUUUUUUUUUUUUUUCUACCUGAUUUAUCUUAAGUAAAAAAAUAUUAGCAAUUUUUGGGGUCGAGAAUUAAUAAACUUGUCUUAAAGAUUGAAAUAUUUAAGUCAAAAGUCAAAGAGAUUGUUAUAUCAGCAAUUUUUUUAUUUGUUUUCACGCUUUCCUUUUAGUUAAUUUCCAUCCUUUUAAUUUAUCGUAUGAUUCUUAAUGUCCAAUUAUUUAUUUUAAACUUUUUUUUUUUCUGUUAAGAGAUAUACAAAUAUAAUUAAAAAUAAUUAUUGUAAUACAAAGUUAUAUUAGCCAAAUAUUAAACUUAUAGUAAUAAAAUUUUAAAAAAUUAUCUAUCUAAAUAAAAAAUUAUAUAAAGUAUUAAAAUUCAGGAUCCAAUGAUGUAAUUAACCCAAAAUUAAUUGGAUUGUGCAUGCGCAAGCUAACCACAAAAUUUAAUUACCUCUUUUUCCUGAAAUUAAUAAAAAGAAAAGAUCCAUUUUUUAGUCUUUUCCUCUUGCUAUUUAUUUCCUUUCCUCCCAACUCCCAUUUCAAAGCUCUACUUUUGGCUUCGACUAAUGAGUUUCCUGGAACGCUCCCAUCUCCUCCCCUCCUCCCUUAUCCUUUUCAUCCUUUCUCUUCUUUCAAUCCAGCAAUCGUAUUUGGUGUCGCCGCAACGGCCGGCGUCGUCGCCUUUUAAGGUCGGACUGAUUCUCAACCUCGACUCUCUCGUGGGCCGCAUGGCACUCACGUCGAUCCGCAUCGCCGUCGACGACUUCUACACCGCCCACCCCCGCUCCUCGAACCAUCUCGAACUCUUAGUCCGCAAAUCCAAUGAUGUUGUCACCGCCGCCUCUGCUGGUACUGAUAGAGAGAUGCAUUGAAUCUGAUCAUUGUUAUGUAUUGACUAUAUCUGAUUGGAUUCAUUGUAUCUGCUCUGCAAAUGCAGCGAUGGAACUGAUGAUGAAGCACGAAGUGCGGGCCAUCCUCGGCCCGCAGACGUCGAUCGAGUCGGAGUUCGUCGCCGAACUCGGCUCGAAGGCCCAUGUCCCGAUCGUUGCCUUCUCGGCCACCAGCCCCUCGGUCUCGCACUCCCACUCCCCCUACUUCCUCCGCGCUGCUGCGAACGACGCGGCCCAGGCGGCCGCCAUCGCCGACCUUGUGUCGGCCUAUGGCUGGCGUCGCGUCGUCCCGGUCUACGAGGACAACGACUAUGGCUCCGCCCUCGUCCCCUACCUAAUCGACGCCCUCAACGCCGCCGGCGCUGCCGUCCCCUACCGCUCGGCAAUUCCGGCCUCCGCCUCCGACGACUACGUCUCCGCCGCGCUGUACCGCCUCGCAACGGAGCAGAUGCGCGUGUUCGUCGUUCACAUGCGGCCGGACCUCGCCGCCCGGUUCUUCCCGCUGGCGAGCGACGCCGGCAUGGUGAGCGCUGGAUACGUGUGGAUCAUCACCGACGGCCUCACCGCCCUCCUCGGCUCCGGCAUCGACGCAGCCACCGUAGCCGAGUCGAUGCAGGGCGUGCUUGGCCUCGCGCCGUUCACCCCGAAGUCGGGCCGCGUGAACGAAUUCAAGAGGAAGUGGCGCCGCCGGUUCUCGGAAGAAAAUCCAGCCGACGACGUCACCACAGCCGCCGCAACCAGCAGCUACGCUCUGUGGGCGUACGACGCCGCGUGGGCCGUUGCAGAGGCCGCCGACCGGCUCGGUCCGGUGGGACCGGAGUAUGUCGGGGCCGGCACGGAGCCCACCGAUAUCGCGAAUUUGCCCGUGUCGAGCACGGGGCAUGAGCUACUGAAGCUGCUAGAGGAGGCCGAAUUCGACGGCCUCGGGGGGGAAUUCCGGCUGGAUGACGGGGAGCUGAACGUGACGGCGUUCUGGAUCGUGAACGUGAUCGGCGAGGGCGCGAGGGAAAUCGGAUUCUGGACGCCGCAACACGGGCUGUCUCGGCGGCUUGACGGGAGCGGGGAGGGGCUCGCGGGGGUGAUAUGGCCCGGGGAGUCGAUGGUGGAGCCGAAGGGGUGGGAUCGGCCGACGAGCGGAGCGGUGCUGAGGGUCGCGGUGCCAGGGCCGGUCGACGUGGGAUUCCACGGCUUCCUGGACAUCGAGACGGACGCAGCGACGAACCGGACGAUGGCUGGCGGGUUCGUGCUGGCGGACGUCGUGAGCUACCACACGCUCGUCCAGCAGGUCGCCAAUGGGGUCAGUAUAUGUAUAUCCACAUGAGCUUCUUUAAUUUCUCCUCCUCUUCUUUAUUUAUUUAUUUAUUUAUUUAUUUAUUACUUCUCAUGUUUCUAUUUCGAACGUAAAAUUGCACGCAUGAAGUGAAAAAGCAUUAAGUUAUUAACCGUAUUGCAUGUACGUAUGUAUCUCAUGUCAAGUUAAAUCAGUAAAUAAUUAAUAAUGAAAAAUGCUAAUAAACUCGAGUAAUAUUGUGAAAUAAUUAACUAAUGUUCUUAUGAAAUUGCUGUGGUGUUAAAUUUAUACCAAAACGAUCGAAAUAUUACGUAAUAUAGCUUAGCAUGUACAUGAUUUCAAGCAGUAGUAUUUUAUCUAUACUAGUUUAAUUAAUUUGUAUUUUGCUUCAUUUAUCAAUAUUUAUACAUAUCAUAAAAUAGACCACUCUAUAUGUAAUUUUUUUUUUCCAAGCCUUCCAAUUCACUAACUAAUAAUACUCCAAACAAUCUGAUUUCAUUAGAUUUACUUCUUCUUUUUGUUUUUCUUCUUCCUAGAAAUUUAAUAUUUGGUAUCAUAUGUGUAUGUAUCCAUCAAAAAGUUAAUUAUUACACUAGCUAGGGAAUUAAGAUGAGCAAAACUAUACAUGUAUGUUAUUGUGAAGCUAAAAAUCAAUUAAUACUCUUGAGAAAAAACAUUUCUCAAUUUAAGACUCGAAUUAGAAUACAUGAUUUAAGUGAUAUUGACCAAAUAUGUUGAGCAUUAAGGAAUCAAUUCCCUUUGAAUGGUUCAAUGAUCAAAACAUAUGAGACAACAAAAGAUUCCCUUAGUAGACCAAAUUAACUGUUGACUAUUUGACCAGCUUUAUAAAGGUGCUAAACUUGUAGUAGUUGGUCCAUGCGUGACUUGCCAAAGAGUGGGCCCAGUACAUGCAUGUUAAUUUAUUUUGACUCGUCCCUUUUGACUAUAUUUUUAUUUUUUUUCUUUUACGUUGUUAGUGUUGAAGUUACUAAUUUGAUUUGAGUAAUUACAUAACUCACAUCAUAUACUAUGUGACUCAUCGUAUGUAUAUAUAUAUAUAUAUAUAUAUAUAUAUAUAUGUAUAUAAGGUUCAAUUUAGCACAAAUAGCCCCAUAUAUAUUCGAUUUCUAUACGUGCAAAGUAACAAGCAAUUCUUGAUAAUUUGAUUGGUUUGUCCCAUGCAUAAACACAUUUAUUCUAGCUAGCUAGUUCACUUGAAAUUAAUUUAAAUAGAAAUGACGACCCAAAAGUACAUUUAAUACCACUGUUUAAUUUAAAUAUAUUAAACAUUUAGCUUUCCUUAUACCAAUCGUUUUACAUGCGUACGUAUAUGUAUUAAAAAAAGAAAAGAAAAGAAAACUAAGAACAAUCAUGCCUCGUGAGUCAUGAACAUGACAAAGACAAUGUUCUUUACAUUAUUUAAUUACUGUUUUUUUAACAAUAAAAGUAUUUAUUUCCAAGUAUUGUGGAAUCUCCAUCUAAGUAAAUGCACUUUAAAUGCUUCUUUUAGUUGUUGGCAUAUCAUCUUAGAAUGAAAAAAGUGUCGCUACAUUAUUCCAAUAUCUCUAUCAUAUAAAAGAUUAACUCCUCAAAAUAUAUUGACGCGCCCUAAAGUAUUUAUUUAAUUAUAGAUGUGACUAAACCUUUGCUCGUGUUCUCUAUCGUUUUCAUCAUAUAAUAAUAAUAAUAAUAAUAAUUUGGGCAUGAUUGGGACUUGACAUAAACUAAUUUAACUACUUGGCUCUUUGAGUCAGCACAAAAUAUUGAGAAAAAUAUACGGGUUGGAACAUUCUAGUACUUAUUAAUUUCUUGGUGUCGAGGUAACUUGUUAACUAAAUACCCUGCCAUGAAAUUGUCAAAAUUUAGUAGGAUAUGUUCAUAAGUUUUCUAAAUGUGUCACGGUCCCAUAAAUAUUGUGGUAUUCUAGUUAAAUUUUUUUUCCUUUUUUGACUUCAAAAGACGUACGUGCUAGGGAGUUCCUAAUUAUGCAAGCGUACAAUUGAAGUUAAAAUAAAAGAAAAGCAAAAGAAGUGGGAAAAGUAGGCCACAAAUCAUAUAUAGGUGGAAAUUUCCACAAUUCGCAUUUGUAGAGAUUCCAAAUAAAAAUCUAUAUUGUUAAAUGAUGGAUGUGAGAAUCAAUAAAUACUUGUAAUUUAGAACGAUUGAUUAGACAUGGCAUGGUACUUGUAAUUUAGAACGAUACAGAGAUGGUCUAAUCAAUCGUUUAUCAUGUGCAAUAUCAAAUCUUAUAAUGAAUAAGAUGAAUGGUAAAUCGAGUGCUUUCUAUUUUUGUCAAUUCAGAGCUACGACGCAGCAGUGGCCGACAUAACGAUCACGGCCAACCGGUCGCAUCAAGUGGACUUCACGCUGCCGUACAUGGCGUCGGGCGUGUCAAUGGUGGUGGCGGUGCGCGACGAACGGAGCACCAUCUGGGUCUUCAUCAAGCCCUUGAAACAGGACCUCUGGCUGGUUAGCGCCGCUUUCUUCAUCUUGACCGGCGCAGUCGUGUGGGCUUUGGAGCACCGCAUCAAUGACGAAUUCAGGGGGCCGCCAUCGAACCAGCUCGGCACCGUCUUCUACUUCUCGCUCUCCACGCUCGUCUUUGCUCACAGUAAGCUCGUCUUCCGCAUCUCAUCAUUUCUCUUUCUAACUCAAAUUUUAAUGUAUUGUAAUUUCUAACCUAAGCUUUCUGAAUUGUUGCAAGAUGCAUGCAAUUAUAACUAUUUUCAACUGCAUACAUCUCCAACUGUAUUGUAAAAUAUACAUUAACUGGAGAUAUGAUUGCAGGGGAGAAUGUGGCGAGCAACCUAUCUAAGUUCGUUGUGGUGAUAUGGGUAUUCGUGGUGCUCAUACUGCAAUCAAGUUACACAGCCAGCCUGACUUCGAUGCUCACCGUGCAAAAGCUUAAGCCGGCUUUCGUAGGCUUCGACGAUCUUAAGAACAGCGGCAAAAACGUCGGAUACCUUCAAGACUCUUUUGUCAAGGGGGUCUUGCUGAACAGAGGUUUCGAUGAGUCGAGACUAGUGUCGUUUAAGUCUCCUCAGCAGUACGAGGAGGCGCUCUCCAAUGGCACCGUCGCUGCUAUUGUCGACGAGAUUCCGUAUCUGAAGCUCGUCUUUCUCAAGAAGUACUGCAGUAACUACACGAUGGUGGGGCAGUUGAAUAAGACCGGCGGAUUUGGCUUUGUAAGAAUCUCUCUCUCUAUCUCUCUCUCUUUUCUGUCCUACACAUGAUAUGGUCCAAUAUUGUUAAAUUAUGUGAAGGGGUCAGAUACAACUCGACUCAGAACCUUCUACUCCAAUACUAUAUCAAAUUAUAUAAAACAAUUACUAUUCUUUUAAAACUAAAGUUAUUAGAGAAUGAUGUUUUUUGUACAUAUAUUUGUCACGAUUAUUCUUAUAUAACGGCAAACUUACAAGAUCGUUAACGUGAACAGGCAUUUCCAAAAGGCUCGCCGCUAGUCUCGGAUCUCUCGAGAGCGAUCCUCAACAUAACGGAGAGCAACGAGGUCACCGAGAUUCAGAGAAAAUGGUUCGGCGACGAAUCUACCUGCCCGAGCCAAGACAACCCCUUAUCAUCCAACCAACUCGGCUUCGAAAGCUUCGCGGGGCUCUUCCUCAUCACCGGAACCGCUUCUCUCUGCGCUUUCGUACUUCACUUAGCAUCCUUCCUCUACAAAAACAGAUACAAACUGCGAAACAUUGCCUCUCAAAACUCUUUCUUGCCGACGCUUCGCUUGAUCGCUAAGCUCUUCGACGACAAGGAUCUCUCGGCCCACACGUUCAAGAGGGCGCAACCGAAGGACGGGUCGAUGAAAGCGGAGAAUAGAGAUACUGGUGUUUCACCUUAUGAGACAUACACAGCUAGCCCCGUGAGCAUGUCUAACUACACAUUUGAAGAAGGGCGAACGACGCCGUCGGUCGAGCCCGCGAGCUCGAUCGUGUUUGAAAUCGAGCCCGCGAGCCCGGUAACGGAGACAACAAUGCACACUGCAGGACAUGGUUGAUAUUAGAUUGAGCUUAGGCUAGUUGUUCAACCCCACAUUGGAUGGAAAAAUUAUAUUGGAUAUGAAUACUUACUAUUAGGGUGUAUAUAUACAAAAAUAUGUACAUAUUAGGAAUAUGAGAUCUAAAAAUGUAUUUGCAAGAAUGUGACACCAAUGUAAUGGGCCUAAAAAGUUCUCAUAUUUGCAUAAUGUAAAUGUUUACACAUCUUUAAUGGCAUACUACUUUUCUUCGUGUCUCAAUUCCAAAUUUUUUUGUCACGUCUGUCUGGACUCGAGACUAUUUUAACAAGCUUAUUUAAUAUGUUAAAAAAUAUAAAACAACUGUUUUUGCUCAAAUAAGAUGUAUAACGACUACAUUUUUUGUUUUGCUCCAAAAACUUUUUGUUGGAUAUUUUUAAUAAUGUUUGCUAUCAUGUUAAAAAAAAAUUAAAACGUUUGUUUUUCUCAAAAAAAUAAGAUAAUACAAUUGUUUUUUCUCCAAAAACUUAAGCUGUUAGAAAAAUUAUUUUAUAUUUAUAUUCAACAGUCCUUUUUCUCAUAUCUGAAAUCUUCAUAUUUUUAUAGACAUAAGACGUGUAGAUAAAUUAAAUACUUGAAAUUAAUAGGAGAAAAUAAGGUAAUUAUUUAUUUUGAUAAAUUUAUAGUCACAAGAAUUGCAUGAAAUAUAUUACCUAAUUAUUAAAUAUAUAGUAACAGUAAAUUCAAAUUUUGAAAUAAAAGUACCGCUGAUUGACUUAAAUCAAACAAAUUGCAAGCUUGAUUAGCCGAUUCAAAGUAGUCCAUAGUUUAGAGAAGAUUUGUACAUUUUUACUAAAAAUUUAUUAGCAUUUUAAUGCAACAGUGCAUAAAAAAUUAAAAUAUUUAGGGAGUCAAGAAUACAUUAUGUCGUAAAAGAUUAAAAUAUUUAAGUCUAAAGUAGUUCGGGGUUAAUUAUAUCAGCAAUAUUUAAUGUUAACUCAUGCUUUCACUUUAGUUCCCAUCGUUUUAAUUUUCAUCAUAAGAUUCUUCAUGAAUACUUUUUUUUUUUUUUUUUUACAUUUUUUUUUUCUCUCUCUGUUAGGAGCUAGAUUACUAAUUCAAUUAAAAAUUAUUACUCCGGUACAAAAUUAACAACAGUUGAGGAUCUUAUUUCAAAAUCUCCAAUGAUUAAUUUGAACAUAUUAAAGAAGGGAAAAGAUUGUAAAUAAUUGUGCAGAAGAACAUUUGCAGGUCCGAAUAUUUUCAAUUCUAGUUAUAUUAUUUGUAGUUACACAUCAAUUGCUUAUUGUAAUUUUUAAUUUUUCUAGAAAAAAUAAUUGUAUAUGUUUUGCAUGCUGUAUAAACUAAUAUAACACAAGCAAUUAUGCUCAUGGAGAGUGUAAUCUUGCGUAUGACACAUGCAACUAGGGAUGUAACGUGGGUCGUGCUAGGGGUGGCAAUCCAGCUCGUCGUUCGCGAGCUAACUCGUGUUCGGCUUGAAAUGAGCUCGAUAUCGAAUCGCUCGUUUAGUAAACGAGCCGAGCACGAGCUGGAAUUUUCAGCUCGUUUAAUAAACGAGCCAAACAGGAGCUGAGGUCAGCUCGCUCGUGUUCGACUCGAUAACAGCUCGAAUACAUUUAUUUUAUAUUUAUAUAUAUAAAUUAAUAAUUAUAUAUGCAUAUAAUAUAGAUUUUUAUUAUUUAAUUUUUAGCUCAAUCUAAAUAUAAAGCCCAACUCAAUUAUAAAAUAAUUUAUUUAUAUAUAAAAUUUCAAUCAUUAGAUCAAAAUAUAGCGGGUAAGAUUUUAUAAAAUUAUUUUUUAUAUAUAUUUUUUCUAACCCUUUAAAAUUCUUAUUCAUAAGUCUGCUCGCAUUCCGCUCGAUACUUUAACGAGUCAGCUCGUGUUCGGCUCGUUUCGUCGUGCCGGCUCCAUAUUUAUCUGAACCAAAACACGCGCAUGACUAGUCUUCGCCAACUUUGUCUAAAUUCGAAUUGCGUCGUGCCUGGCCAGAUUUUUUUUGAACGCACAACCCAGCAUGGCCCUCGGACCCAAAAGGCACCGGCCAGGUCAGGCCUCUAUCGAUUCAAAUAAAAUUUUUUAAUAUUUACGAAAUUUUUAUUUUUAAAAAAUUUUAAAAAUAAAUUAUUCUAAUUUUUUUUUGUAACUGUUAGAGAGGUAUUGCUGUUAGAAAAAAUGAAAUAUAAAAUUUUUAAAUUUUUUUUUUAAAAAUUUAAAACUUGAAAGUUAAAAAAACUAUUUAAACAUGAGUUUAAAUUUAAAAGAUUUAAAAAUCAUUUGAAAAAUUAAAAAUUCUAAUUAAAAAUUAUUUAGACAAUAUUGAAAAUUUUAAAUUUAAUUAAAAAUAAUUUGAACAAAAUUUUUAAAAUUAAAAAAUUAUUUAAACAAAAAGAUUAAAAUUUGAAAUAAAAUUUUUUAAAUAUUUUAAACUGUUAGAGAGAAUGGGCUAGCUUAAGGCUGAGCCUGAGCCUUAGACCAUGGGAGACGGACUCCCUUCUCGUGGGACCUGACCCGAGGGCUCCAGGCAAAAUUGAGCCUCGCGGGUCAGGCUAUGCGGUAGAUACGGCUCAUACUGAUCGUUCUGGAUCGGGUCACGGGCCUACCUUUGGCCCGGCACGGCGGAUCGAAAUGGGUCGGCUCCGCACGACCCAUCACUCAAGAUCAGGUUGGACGGGCACGAAUGCUACAGUACCCGUGUCGCGCCUGGACCUGUUCUACAUACCUACAUGCAACUCCACACAAUUUGCUUGCUCAAGGCCCCAGAUUCGAACUAUAAUUCGCUUUCUUCGGUCUAAGGAGAUCGCGAUCCGAACCGGGUUUAAAUAAAUUUUAGUAACAAAAAAAUAAUUGGUGUGAUAAGUAAAAAAUAAUAAUUUUUUGCUCUAUGGUAAAAUAAUAUCAUAAAAUAAUAAUAGUCCACAUGGCAAUCUUAAGAGUGAUGUACAUAAACCGUUACCAAUUUACUGAAGUAAAAGAUAAUAAAACAUAAUAAAAUUAAGUUUUAAAAUAAAAUUUACCUUUCUUGUGCGUUAAAAAUUAAAUCAAAAUUAAGUUUUAAAAUCAAGCUGCCUUUUCCACGAAUUAAAUUUUGGUGGAUUCUUUUUUAAUGCGUAAAAUUUGGAUUAAAUUUUGAAUAAAUCUAUUAUUUAAAUUGAAUUUGAACAUAAAUGGUUGUUAUCUGUUUCCAAUUAAGAAAGAGGUGGAGAAUUUGAUGCCUUUUUUUGGUGAAUAUUUUUCUUGUGUGUUAAAAAUUGAAUUAAAAUUUAAAAUACUUUCAUAUAUAUAUACACACACACACACGGAUCAUUCUGCCUUUUCUUGUUACUAUAUAUAUCCCCUAUCCCCACCCCCAUCUCCUAAUUGAAAGCUCCUCUUUUAGUUUCAAAACAUGAGUUUUCUGGAGCCCUCCACUCUCCCCCUGUCCUUUCUGUCCCUUAUCAUUCUUUCUCUGUUUUCAAUCCAGCAACCGUCUUCGGCAUCAACACAAUUGCUGGUGCCAUCGGCAUUGAAGGUUGGGCUAAUCCUCGACCUCAACUCUCUCGUGGGACGCAUAGCCCUCACAUCCAUCCGCAUCGCGGUCGACGACUUUUACGCUGCCCACCCCUACUCCUCAACCCGUCUCGAUCUCCUGGUUCGUGACUCCAAUGAUGUCGUCACUGCAGCCUCUGCCGGUACUGCUAGAAAGAUACAUUGAAUCUGAUCAUCGCUGUUCACUAACUAUAUCAGAAGGGACAGAAUGAUUAUUAGACUCACAAUCACUGUGACCCUUCUGAAAAUUUUGAAAAUUGCAUAUGAAUCUCUAACUAUUUAGGCAUACGAAAGACAAAAAUAUUUUAAAUUCUUGCAUUUAGGGGGCCCAAAUAUAUAUUUUUUCUUACAAAAUUUAUUGGCCCUAAAGAAGAUUUCUUGCAAAUUUUUUUCUUACAAAACUUGAUCAUAAUAUAUAUAUAUAUAUAUAUUUUUUUAAGAUUAAUAUAUUACGUACUCUUGAUCCCUCUCAAAUUUACACCUACUUUGCAAAUGCAGCAAUGGAACUACUGACGAAACACGAAGUGCAGGCCAUCCUCGGCCCUCAGACGUCGAUCGAGUCGGCGUUCGUCGCCGAACUCGGCUCGAAGGCCCACCGCCCGAUCGUCGCCUUCUCGGCCACCAACCCCUCGGUCUCGCACUCCUAUUCCCCCUACUUCCUCCGCACCGCUGCGAACGACGCGACCCAGACGGCCGCCAUCGCCGCCCUUGUGUCGGCCUACGGCUGGCGCCGCGUCGUCCCAGUCUACGAGGAUACCAAAUAUGGCUCCGCCCUCGUCCCUUACCUCGUCGACGCCCUCGACAGUGUCGGCGCCGCCGUCCCCUACCGCUCGGCAAUUCCGGCCUCCGCCUCUGACGACUACGUCUCCGCCGCGCUCUACCGCCUCGCGACGCAGCAGACGCGCGUGUUCAUCGUUCACAUGCGGCCGGACCUUGCCGCCCGGCUCUUCGCGCGGGCGAGGGACGCCGGCAUGAUGAGCGCCGGAUACGUCUGGAUCAUCACCGACGGCCUCACCACCCUCCUCGGCUGCGACAUCGACGCCGCCACCGUCGCCGAGUCGAUGCAGGGCGUACUCGGCCUCGCCCCGUUCGUCCCGAAGUCGGCUCGCGUCAACGAAUUCAAGAGAAAAUGGCGCCGGCGGUUCUCGGAAGAAAAUCCAGCCGCCGACGUCCCCGCAGCCGCCGCAACCAGCAACUACGCUUUGUGGGCGUACGACGCCGCGUGGGCCGUUGCAGCAGCCGCCGAGCGACUCGGUCCGGUGGGGCCGGCGUAUGUCGGGGCCGGCACGGGGCCCACCGAUAUCGCGAAUUUGCGCGUGUCGAGCACGGGGCCGGAGCUACUGAAGCUGCUAGAGGAGACCGAAUUCGACGGUCUCGGGGGGAAAUUCCGGCUGGUCGAGGGGGAGCUGAACGUGACGGCGUUCCGGGUCGUGAACGUGAUCGGCGAGAGCGCGAGGGAGAUCGGAUUCUGGACGCCGCAACACGGGCUGUCUCGGCGGCUCAACCGGAGGGGAGAGGGGCUCGCGGGGGUGAUAUGGCCGGGGGAGUCGACGGUGGAGCCGAAGGGGUGGGACCGGCCGACGAGCGGAGCGGUGCUGAGGAUUGCUGUGCCGAGGCCGGCCGACCCGGCAUACCACAGGUUCAGGAACGUCGAGACGGACGCGGCGACGAACCGGACGACGGCAGGCGGGUUCGUGAUCGACGUGUUCGAGGCGGCGGUGCGGCAGCUGCCGUACGCGCUGCGGUUCGAGUACGUGCCGGCGGACGUCGGGCUCUAUAACACGCUCGUCCAGCAGGUCGCUAACGGGGUUAGUAUCACAUGAGCUUCUCCUCCUUUUUAUUUAUUUAUUUAUUAUUGCUCAUAUAUGCUAUUAUUUUGUUUCAACGUAGAAAUUAAUAUAGCAUGCAUGAAAGAGAUGAACACAGCAAUCGUAUUUAAGGAAUAAUACAAUAAUAUUCAGUGGCAGUAGCUAGGAAAUUUUUUUUUUGAGAAAUAGAUAGCAAAUUAUCUGCUUUAUUUAUAAAGCAAGAUAAAUUAAGCAUACAAGGUGGAGACAGCUAAGGCUUUCGAGUCCAAAAAAAGUUAAGGACAGGAAAAAGUUUAAAGUAAUAAAAAUAAACGAAAGGAGGGAGAAAUUGUCAAAAUACAAUUCAGAUGUGUUUUGUUAAUUAACUAAUGUUUUCAUGUCGUAACUCGUAAAAUCAGAGACACACUGAUUAAUAUUAUUUAAUUAAUCCUCAUAUUCAGUGACAGUGGCUAAGUAAUGUUCUUAUUCCCUAUAAUUAAAUAUAAUAUAGGACAGUAGGCUAAGACUCGAAAAUUGGUGAUGGAGAUUCUAAGUUUGAAACAUAGUUUUUUUUAAAUUUCUAGCUAGCUAUAAGUUAAUUUUUUAAAAAUAGACGAAGCGAACAACAUACUACCUUUUCGCUGUGGUGUUAAAAUUCAUCGGAUCUAUCUGCUAUUAUCAAAACCAAAUUUCAUGAUAUCAUUUAAGGUUUGUUAGUUUGUUUCACCUAUUUAAGACUUUGAAAUCAAAAUGAGUUUUACCAAUUUCGAUAGAUGUUACUUGUUUCAUAGAAAUCGGAUUCCGAUUUUCAUUUCAUUCUGAAACGGAAACGAGUCAAUCCAUUUAUACCCUAAUCUGAGUUUGAAUCCUUUUGCCUACUCCAGAGUAAACCACUCAAACCCUUCUCUCAUAAAUAUACCUUUCCCUCCUAUUCCUUUAAUUAUCGCUAUUUUCUCUCUUUACUAAAAUUCUCUCUUAAAAUUUUAGAUGUUUAUUCCUAUUUUUACUUUAAUAAUAAACUAAAUAUCUUUAGAUGAUUCGUUAUUAUAUUUUUCAAUCCAAAACAAUUCAAUUUUAUUUUUUAUUUCCAUUCUAAUAAGGAAUCAAACAUGUCUUAAAUGUAAAUAAUUUUUAGUAGUAUAUAGUAGUAUUACCACUAUCACCAGUAGGUCUCGUGUGUUAUUAGGAGUACGGAGGUCUUCAUGCUUCUAAGUCGUUUUCGAUGAUGGAGUUUCUGAAUUGACGAUCGACUCUGUUAGACUUGAUCUAGUGUAUUUGAAAUAUCUAGAAAAUAAAUUUUGUGAUUUUUUUGAUAUCAUUUACCUAGCGAUCGAAAUGAUUCAAAAUCAAUGGAUAAAAAUAAAAAUUUCACAUAAAAAGUGAUAAUAUAGCACUAAAAUUUUUUAUCAAAGAUAUUGAUCUUGUAGUAAAUAGUAUAAAAUUUUUUUUUAUCAAAAUUUUGUCUAAUUUGAAUAUUUCUACACUGUUAAACUUGCAAAUGAUAUAAAUCAACCAUUAAAAAUUGUUGAUUUUGAACCAUUUCGAUCGUUAGGUAAAUGAUAUAAAAAAAUCUCAAAAUUUAUUUUCUAGACACUUCAAAUACACUAGAUCAAGUCUAAUGGAGCCGAUCGUCGGUUUAAAAGCUAUAUCAUCAAAAACGACUUAGGAGCACGAAAACCUCCGUGCUCCUAAUAGCACACAAGACCUACUCCCACUAUCACUAUAUCUAUAUCUAUACUAAUUUAAUUUGUAUUUUAUUACAAAAAGAAUAGUGCGGGCCAUUUAUACACAUCAUAGGAAAGUAAUAGUAUUACAACUUUUUAUUUCUGUUUCCAACUUCCAAGUAAUUACAUUUAAUAGGUAUCAUGUGUGUGUAUAUCCGUCGAAAAGUUAAUUAUAUAUUACACUAGAAAAAAAAAAAAAAAACACACACACACACACACACAAACAAUAAGCUGUUUAAUUUACAAAUAUCAUGCUAUAUGACUAUUAAAUCUCAAGUGACAACUUCUACAUGAUUGUUGUAACAUACCACAUCCCUUAUGAAUCGUACCGAGUUCCGUCAAAACGAGCGGAACGCGAAAUUGAACGAGUUAAAGUGGACCCUAAGUGCAUUGGAGUUCAUAAACGGAGCAAAAAGGGACNNNNNNNNNNNNNNNNNNNNNNNNAUAUAUAUAUAUGUGGCAAAAGACAAACCAAAACUAUAUAUGUAUGUUCUUGUAAAACUAAAAAUCAAUUAAUAGUCAUUGUAAUAACAUCUCAUGACUCUUUGUGCUGUAAUUUGAAAAGUACAGUAUAGAUGAUUAAGUGUUUACCACCAAGUUUUUAGCACUUGAACGUACGUAUAAAACAAAUAGCCCAAAAUAUAUUUGAUCUCUACGCAAAGUAACAUGCAACUUUUGAUAAUUUAAUUGGUUUGUCUCAGAUAUAAAUUUAUUUAUUCAAGCUAGCUAGCUAGUUUACUUGAAAUUGAUUUAAGAAUGAAUCGAGUUUUGCACAGCAAAAUCAUCUUGUAACGAUUAUUGAACCAGUAACAAUGUGAUAAAACAUUGUCAUCUAAUAAUCUUUUAGUCUCUACAUGGCCUUUAAUCGUAAAUAAACUCUAAUAAUCUCCUUCAAAACACUGCAUAAGGUAGAUUUUUCUCCUUUGUUUUUAAAGAAAAAUCCUAUAGGCAUAAUACCAAGAUAUAUAUGCAGAAUAUUCCUUGCUUCUUCUACACUAUAGCCUAAUAAUUAAUUUAAUUUCCCUUUAGCUUUCCCUUGUGCCGGUCAUUUUACAUACACACAACAAGUAUAAAAAAUAGAGACUAAGAAGGAUCAAGCCUCUUGAGUCGUGAACAUGGCAAUAGCAAUGUUCUUUAAUUAUCUUUUAUUUUUUAACAAUACAAAUGCUUCUUCCACUUGUUGUAAAAAUCUCCAUACAAAUAUACUUUAAAUGGUGCAUGCAUCAUGGCUUCAAAAGAGUCGCUCUAGAUCGCGACUCUUUAAUAAUUUUUUCUUUUCUUUUCUUUCCUCAAAGUGUCGGAAUAUCAUGUAAUAACAAUUUUUUGAGUCAUUAUUAGUGGCAUUAAAAAGAUAUAGCAUCUAGUAAUAAUAUUUUUUUGACCAUUUAGUGGCAGUGAAAAAGUGUUACUAAUCCCAAUAUCACUAUCAUAUCAAAGAUUAAUUGCUCAAAAUAUAUUGGUGCGCUUCGAAAAAAUUUAUUUAAUUGUAAAAGUGACUAAACCUUUAGUCGAUGUUCAUAUAACCGUUGAAUUUCACGCCCCAAUUGCGCUAUUGACUUUGAAAUUAAUGGUCUAUCAUUUUCAUCAUUUAUAACUUUUUAAUCAAGUACUUUGCCACGAAAUUGUCAAAGCUUAGUAAUUAUGUCCUAUAUAAUUGUAGUAUAUGUUCUAGUUAAACUUUUUGUUUUUUUUUAAUCUAAAAAGUCAAGAAGAGUUAUGGAAUAUUCCUCUACCAAUAUAUAGAUCGAAUAUGUUUAGGCAUUAUCUUUCGGUGCUUGCAUAGUUGCAUGUUUAAUUUCCACAUUUUGUGAUGCUUCUCUUGCACGGCAUCAUAAAAAGCAUAGAAUGGAAAUAAUAUAUUAAGGUAAGUACGCUUAUCACACGAAAAAGUGCCUCUUUAAUUAGUGGGACUUGUAAAAAGGUUAAAAUUUCUCAAAGCUACAACGACAUAAUAAAUUAUUUCAACAUGUUCUAAAAGAGAAAAAGAUUGAUUGGUCGUUCAAAUUUUGAACUUUUGAAUUCAAAUUCAAUUCCUUUCUCAAAGUUCUAAGUUUCAUGCAUAAUAUUUUAACAAUAAUUCACUGGAUUAAUUUAUCCACAUGCUAGCUAGUACUGCUUAGCAUAUAUUAUGAUUACAUAUCUAUCAACAAAGAUUAAUUCUGGCUCAAAUCAAUAAAAUUAAAUGCAAAUUAAGUAUCUUGGAUUGAUGCACACAAGCUAAUUAAUGUGCUAAUUGCAACCAUGUCAAAAGAAUCAACCAAAUAAAAAAGUUUAAGUUAAUAGAUAGAGAAAUUCAUAUACAUUAUCGAACAUGACAGGAUUAUUAUUCUUAAUGUUGAACGAUUUUUUGAAAUAAUGAAAACCAGUAAUCAGUCAUUAAGCACUACAUUGUUGCCCUUGAAGGGGUUUUUUUGGGUAUUUUUGAAUUUUUAAAGUGAAUUUAUACAAUCCGCUAAUAUGGGAAUCCGUUUUAUGAUAAAAUGGUCUAAUCAAUCACUCAUCACAUGCAGUAUCAAAUCUUAAAACAACAUGAAUGGUAUUCGUAUUGCUUCGAUGCAGAGCUACGACGCAGCAGUGGCGGACAUAACGAUCACAGCUAACCGAUCACAUCUCGUGGACUUCACCCUGCCGUACAUGGCGUCCGGGGUGUCGAUGGUGGUGGCGGUGUGCGACGAACAGAGCAACAAUUUUUGGGUCUUCAUCAAGCCCUUGAAAGAGGACCUCUGGCUGGUUAGUGCCGCCUUCUUCGUCUUCACCGGUGUCAUUGUGUGGUCUUUGGAGCACCGCAUCAACGAUGAAUUCGGAGGGCCACCGCUGAACCAGCUCGGAACUGUCUUCUACUUCUCGCUCUCCACGCUCGUCUUCACUCACAGUUAGUUCAUAUUCUCCAUCUCAUUUCUCUCUAUGUUACGAGAAAUUAUAUCCUACAUCUGGUGCAUUCAUAUAUACAUCUCGUGCGCUACCAAGUUGUUUUUGACAAUACGGCUUCCAAAUCGACGAUCGGCUCAAUUUAGACUUGAUCUACACUAUUAAAAGUAUUUGAAAACUAAAUUUCAUAGUUUUUCACUAUUAUUCGACCACUGAUCAAAAGGUCUCAAAAUUGACAAUUUUAAUGGACGAUGUGAUGCGUUUGUGAAUUUAACGGUGUAAAACAAUUCAAAUCUAAUAAAAAUUUUAUAGAAAAUUCUCUUCACUAUUUAGCGUAGGAUCAGUACUUCUGAUCUUAAAUUCAAGCCUUUUAUUAUUAUUUCUUAUGAGAUUUUUAUUGUCAACCAUUUAUUUUUACGCUAUUGUUUGAUAGGUAAAUAAUAUCGAAAAAUCAUAAAAUUUAAAUUUUCAAAUACUUUUUAUAAUGUAGAUUAAAUCUAAUGAAGUCGAUCGUCGAUUUAGAAGCUGCAUUAUCGAAAACAACUUGAUAGUACGGAGGCCUCUGAACUAGUAAUAGUAUAGCAGCCGGACUCUCUAUAUAUGUAUGUAUGUAUAUCUUACAAUAUACAUUGAAUGGUUGCAGAGGAGAAUAUGGUGAGCAACCUAUCUAAGUUUGUUGUGGUGAUAUGGAUAUUCGUGGUGCUCAUACUGCAAUCAAGUUACACAGCCAGCCUGACUUCGAUGCUCACCGUGCGACGGCUUAAGCCAGCUUUCGAAAGCUUCGACGACCUAAAGAACAGCGGCAAACACGUUGGAUACCUUCAGAAGUCUUUUGUGAAGGAAGUUUUGCUGAACGAAGGUUUCGACGAGUCGAGACUCGUACCGUUUAUGUCUCCUCAGCAGUACGAGGAAGCGCUCCUCAACGGCUCCGUCGCUGCUGUCGUCCACGAGACCCCGUAUCUAAAGCUCGUCUUUCUCAAGAAGUACUGCAGUAACUACACCAUGGUGGGACAAUUGACUAAGACCGGCGGAUUUGGCUUCGUAAGAAUCUCUCUUUCGCGCACACUCUCUUUUAUUGGUUAGGCGUUAGCCUUCUUGAAAUUGUUGUUCUUGAGACCGGAGGAUCUGCACUACACAUGGCGUACGAUUCUUAAUCUUGAUGUACGAAUCAAACCUUCCUACAUCGAGGUUACGAUAACUCGCUUCACUUAAAAUGCAAAUCCAUCAGUCUCAAGUUUCUUUAUACAUAUAUAUAUAUAUAUAUAUAUAUAUAUAUAUAUAUAUAUAUGAUAUAUAUAAAGAGAGAGAGAGAGAGAGAGAGAAGUUCUUUAUAUUAGAGUUGAGCUGGAAUAUGAUGAUAGCAAACAGUUUCUUUGCCACAUAUUUGUUUUCAAUGAUGGAGCCUCUAAAUCGACGAUCAGCAUUGUGAAAAUGAUCUAUACCACUUGAAGUAUCUAGAAAUUAAAUUUCAUACUUUUUCGAUAUUGGUUCUCUUCUCUAUCAAGUGGUCCGAGCUAAAGAAGGUGCUACAAAUGAAAUAUCCUCUAAAGAUGAUAAUGGAAUUUUGUAAUCAAGAUUGAGAGUAUAGAUCUUGUUCUAAAUAGUUUAAAAAAUUUUCUAAUCAAAAUUCAAUUGAUUUGGAUAACUUUACACUGUUAAAAAAGAAAACGUUUCGUAUUUACCAUUAAAAUUAUAAAUUUUGAAACCUUUUGAUCAUUAAAUCCAUGAUGCAUGUCGAAAAGAUUUGAAAUUUGGUUUCUGAAUACUUCAAGUGGUAUAAAUCAUAUUCAACAGUGCCGAUCGUCGAUUUAGAGGCUCCAUCAUUGAAAACAAAUAGGUGGUAACGGAAUCCGUUUGCUAUCGAUAGUAUGCUAGCUCAACUCCUUUUAUAUAUACAAUGACAAAUUUACAAGAUCUUUGAUGCGAACAGGCAUUUCCGAAAGGAUCGCCGCUAGUCUCAGAUCUCUCGAGAGCGAUCCUCAACAUAACGGAGAGCAACGAGGUCUCCGAGAUUCAGAGAAAAUGGUUCAGCGACGAAUCUACCUGCCCGAGCCAAGACAACUCCUUAUCAUCCAACCAACUCGGCUUCCAAAGCUUCGCCGGGCUCUUCCUCGUCACCGGAACCACUUCUCUCUGCGCUUUCUUACUUCACUUAGCAUCCUUCCUCUACAAAAACCGAUACAAACUGCGAAACAUUGCCUCUCAAAACUCUUUCAUGCCGACGCUUCGCUUGACCGCUAAGCUCUUCGACGACAAGGAUCUCUCAGCCCACACGUUCAAGAGGGCGCGACCGAAGGACGAAUCGAUAAAAGCGGAGAAAAGAGAUACUAAUGGUUCAUCUUGUGAGCCAAACUCAGCUAGCCCCCUGAGUAUGUCUAAUUAUACCUUCGAAGAAGCGCGAAGGACGCCGUCGGUAGAGCCCGCGAGCCCAAUUGUGCUCGAAAUCGAGCCCGCAAGCCCGAUUGUGUAUGAAAUCGAGCCCACGAACCCAAGAAUCCAAUAAAGGAGACAACAAUGCACACUACAGGAGAUGAAUGAUAUCAGUGUCUAGUAUUAGAAUCAGCUUAGGGUGAUUGCUAAACCACACAAUUAAUGGAGGCCAAAAUUAUAUUGGAUAUGAAUACUUGUUAUUAGGGUGUGUACAAAUGGAAAUAUGUUAAAAUAUGAGAUCUAAUAUGUAUUCGUAAGUAUUUGACGUCAAUGUAUUAAAACAAAAUAUAUUUUAAACGAUGUUUUAUUCUAACGUUUUCAAUAUUUGGCAUGUGCCGACAUUAUGAUUAAACGUCGUCAGUAAAUAUAUUGUUAUCAAAUGCUGAUAAAAAUUCUCCAACACUAUAUUAAAGUGUCGGUAUAUUUAUGUCGACAUGUUUAGUUAAUAAUUUUUUACUUGACGCUUUUACAAGCAUCAGAGUUAUUAUUGCCGAUGCUUGUAAAAGCGUCGCUAGUAAUUAUUUAAUUAAAGUGUUUUUAACUACUAGAUUUGUUGUAGUAUAAUAGCUAGCCCUAAAAAGUAUCUUAUUAUUUGCUAAUUAAGGCUUUAAUGUUGUUGAAUUGCUACUUUAAUUAAAGAAAAAUAAAUAUCAUUAAUUUUGUAUUCAAUUGAAGCGCAUCGCAGGUUAAUUCCAAUUAAGGUUUGUUUGCUAACACAUUUGAUUAUGUAAAAUUUUGAAUAUUCUAGGGCCCUAUUUCUUGAACAUAAAAAGUAGGGAAUCGAAGCCCCGUCCUAAUAGUUUUUAUUAUUAUUAUUAUUUUAGUAUUAUUCUUUGCUUUAAACUCUGUAUUAAGUUUUUUUUUUUGAGAAAAAACUAGCAUGCUACCCGCUUCAUUCAUUCAGGAUAUAAACUUAGCUAUAUGGGUGAGGCAACAAGGCCUCUGAAGAGAUGAAAAGCAGGGUGAAGACGGAAAAAAAAAAAAAAAAAUUCAGUAUCUCUCCACAGGACGAAGUUUUCCCUACAGGGACGUCAACUGUUUAACUUUAUAGCAACCACGGAUUGGAUCAGUCUGAUUCCUCCUAAAGAUCACACCAUUUCUGGUCUCCCAAAUGAUCCACCAGCAGACUAUUAGUCCAGAUAAACUAUCGCUCAUGGACUGAGACCCCAUCCGUAUUAAGUUAAGCAAAAAUUUCAUACAACCACCAUUUAGAUAAUAUAUAUAUAUAUAACGCUAUUAUGUAAACCUUACCCAUCUAUAUAUCUUAACAAAAGAAUUCCACUAAGUCGUUCAGCUAUAUUAAUAAAUUGUAAAAAAAUAAAAUAAAAUAAAAAUAGGAGAAUCUAUCUUCUAUUUACUUUUUCUCACUCCUCUCCUUAAUUUUCAAAAUACAAAUGAUCUAUCAUGUCAACAUCAUGCCAAUCGGAGGAAACUUCCACAAGAUAUAUUUCUGGUUUACCGUAAAUACUUUUCGUAUAAUAUUUCCUCGUGUUAUAUAUAUAUAUAAAUUAAUCAAAAAUUUUCAUAUCAUAAAUAUCGUUACAUAAAUAAUAAAUAAAUAAGAAUAAUAUUUUUAGAGAUCAACCGUAGUAUUAUGAAACUAAUAGAUUGAAAACCUGAAUAUUAUGUGCUUUUAUUAAUUCAUAAAAUGUAUUGUAAACUUUCACAAAAUUUACAAACACACCAAUAAUUAACCCUAAUUAACCCAAAAGACAUUUCGAAAUAUGCCAAAGCAUUAGCAAUUAGAAAUUUAAUUUUGAUUAUUCAAUCUAUAUAUCAUUGUCUUAUGUCUCCUUCCUCCUACUUUACAUACUCUCUUUUUCUACCUGAGAUUCGCACGUGCAAAUAAUUACAUGGACAUGAAGCAAACGCGUAGAAAAGGAAUUAAGACCCAUAUCCAUCAAUUCCUACUUAUCUAAGUCUCACAAUCAACUAUUUAAAUAUUUAAAAAUUAGUUAAAAAUUAGACCGUUGGAAUUUUAGCGUAACGUUCUUAAUUACAUGGUGUUUACUUUCAUUGGAGACGAAUUUGAUUCCACUCAUGCAUAAGCCCCACCAAUUAAUUAAUAACACCUUUUCUUUCUUUUUUCAGAUUAUAAAAAGAGCAGUGAAGUGUCAUCAUCAUAUUCUUUGACAUUAAAGUGGUAGUUAGUUAAACUAAAUAAUAAUUAACAUGUUUCAGGCGCACAUAAUUAACAACCACUACACAGCAUAGUGUUUAGUUACCUUAGUGGUGUUUUAAGAGAUUUAAUUAAGAAUUUGAUCCUCUCUGAUCUCGUUUAAAAUGACGUCAAAUGAUCGAUGCAUCAGAUGCAGAUAAUAAUUUCUCUUUAUUAAUGCUGUUUCUUACCUUUGAUGAGAAGCCUAAGAUGGUGAAUUUAACGAUCUUUUCGCAGGAUGAUCAUUAUAAAAUUUCUGACCCAUUCCAGCUAAGUUUUUUAAGUAAGCUACGUAUCACCAAAUCGACAUGUAGCCUAACUAAACUACUAGUGUUUAUACUCAAAUAGUGACAAAAUAUUCUUUUCCCAAGUAAAUUUAAAAAAUAAUUCUUUUGCAAAAGGUUUAGGACAUAUGCUUAGUAUCUCUUUGUACUCUUGCUAGUUCAAGAAACACUAGGGGUCAGCCCACCCAAUUAAUAACCUAAUUACCAAGUCAACACAUGCCACGUCAGCAAUGGGAAUGGUCAAUGAAACUAAAACAUCGACUUGGACCAUGAAUGGUCAACUCCAUGAGAAAGUUCUCUUCGUUUUCCACGGAUACAUAUAUAUUUAACAAAGCAAAACCAUAAUGUUGGAAUAGUCCCUAAAUAAGUUUCCGUCCACACAUGAAGAGGAUACCAAUAUCUCCUGCUCUUCUUCUUCUUCUUCUUCUUUCUCUUUUGCUCUUAUCCCUUGUGACAUGGUCGCAAAGCGCGGUUGUUCAUGCCGGAGAUCGUUCGAGGAGGGGCGAGAGCGCGACGUCACGUGUCGUCGAUGUUGGCGUGAUCUUGGACGCGAAAACGUGGAUCGGGAACGUGAGCUGGACGUGCAUGCAAAUCGCCCUCGAAGAUUUCGACAAAGCGCACACAGGUUACGGUACCAGGCUCUCACUUCACCUGCGAGAUUCGGGUGGUGAUGUAGUUACAACUGCAGCUGCAGGUACCUUAGCUUCUCUCUCAAUUCCGAAAAAUUUCCAAUGUAUUUUUUCCCAUAUUAAUAUAUGGAAAAAUUCUUCUAAAAUUAUAUAUAAAUGGCAUAUAUAUAUAUAUAUAUAUAUAUAUAGCAUAGUAGCCUAGUUCUAUAUGAGUCCGGCUACUAUGCUAUUAAUAGCACAAAGCACUUGGUGCUACCAAGUUUUCCGCCGUUAGAUCUACCCUUGUGAUCAUUUUCACCCGUUAGAUCAUACUAUUNUUCUCUUAAUCUAAUUCGAGCUGAGUCGGACUGAUGUUUGCUCGCUUAAUUGAUGACUUUUAUGGCUAACACAAAAUAUAUAAGCUGAAAUUAAUGUUUAUAUAUAUAUAUAUAUAUAUAUAUAUAUAUAUAUAUAUAUAUAUAUAUAUAUAUAUAUAUAUAUAUAUAUAUAUAUAUAUAUUGCAACAAAAUAUCUAUUUAGGGGGAGUUUGUCCCACGCAAAGCAAAAUAACGCACAAAUGAAACCAGUAAUAUAGAAGCUUUAGAUUGAAGUUUUGUGUUAAUAAGAGAUGUAUAUAUAAUUUGUAGGCGGGUGACAUAAUUGGGUCAGGUAGAGACUCAGAUUAAACUUGUCAAUAAAACUACUAUUACUAUAUUUAUUGAUCUAUCAUAUACAAAGUAAAAAUAAUGAUUCCAUUCAAGUAAAGUUACCUUUUGUGAUAAAUUAAUUAAUCUAAAAGUUUUAAGUACUUAAAAAGGCUUGGCUUCUAAGGGGACAAAACGAUCAGUUGGGAGCUCCCCGACAAGCCCUCGUUAGGGAGCCCUGAUUUGCUUUUAUGUAUUUGAUUUAUCUUCGUCUAAGAGUUCGUUCGGUAUUUUUUAAUGCUAAAAUUUUUAAAAAAUAAAUAUGAUAAAAAAAAUUAUUAUUUUAUAUAGAAAUAUAACUUAUGUGUAAUAAUAAAUUAGAGGCUGCUUAACGAGACAUCGGUAAAAAAAUACCUCACUAAAGUUUAUUUUUCCUAGUGUAGGGAGGAAUAUUAAGUAAAAGGUGUUGACUCUCUAACCCCACUUUGGAGACGUGGAUAUGCACAAAAAUCUAAAAUUUUUUAAAGAAAAUUUAAGAUACUUUUGACCUUGUUGUAAGGUGUAAUUAAUAUUAUUAGAUUGAAUUGAUUGGAAGUUAUUUUUGUAAAAGGAGUAUUACCCAUAUACUCAAAAAUUGGUAUAAAUCUUACAAUUAAUCUAUUCAAUGGCUAAUAUUUCUAUACUAGUCUUCUAAAUUUUUUUUAAUAUUAAAAAUAAAAAAAAAGGUGUCUAAAAAUGUAUAAGUAGCAUUUCUCUUUUUAGAAAGUGAGAAAAGAAAACAAAAGUUCAACUAAGCCCAUACAAAGACUCAAAUUGGGUAUCAGGUUUUGAAAUUUGUUUUGUCCUUAUAUAUAGACGGAAGAUGUGCUAAAUUGUAUGAAACAGGAAUUUGAAUAAAUAAGAGAAAAUUAAUUAUACAAAAAAGUUUGGCGUGAUUCGAGCUUAAAAUCUUCUGCUCUGAGUUUGGAGCCUGGUGUAACUCAAAUCCAAAAACUUUAAUUUGCUCUUAUACUAUAUUAAAAAAAUAGCCAUUUUUUUAAAGAGCUUAAGCUGGCAGAGAAUAUUAUUGUUAUAUUCAAAACUUUUCAUCAUAUUUGGCAUAACUCAAAUUCAAGAUCUUAUAUCAUAUUAAAUAUGGUUAAACAACCUUUGUUCUUUAAUAACUUAAACUAAUAAAAAAUAAUAUUUAAUAUUUGGGUUAAUUUUAUACAGCUCCUUGCAAAUAUAAUGAAUAACAAAUAUAACCCUACAAAGUUCAACUUUUAUAUGUUGUCUUUACAAAAGUUUUAAUAUUUUCAAAUAUGUUUUUCUGGUUUAUUACUAUUAGAAAAUCAUUAGAGAACUGUUUUUAUUUGUGAUGACAAAUAUAACCCUACAAAGUUCAACUUUUAUAUGUUGUCUUUACAAAAGUUUUAAUAUUUUCAAAUAUGUUUUUCUGGUUUAUUACUAUUAGAAAAUCAUUAGAGAACUGUUUUUAUUUUUGUCAUCACAAAUAUACCUCUCCAAAAAUCAUAACAGUAUAAUAUUAGAGAAAAAUUAUCAAAAACUAAUCAGGAUUAAAUAUUUAAUCUAUGAUGGAUUAAAAUUUUCUAACAGAUUCUAAAGACAGAGAUAUAUUUAAAAACAUCAGAAUUUUUAUAAAGACAACAUAUAAAAGUUGAACUUUAUAAAAAUAUAUUUGUCCGUUCAGUGUAUCUUGUAUCCUGUAUUAAAUUAACCCCCUCUCUUUCUCUCUCUCUCUCUCUCUCUCUCACUCUCUCUCUCUCUCUCUCCCAUUUCCCCUUUUCUCAGCAAGAGCUAAUGCUAUCAACAAUCUCCCCCCUUUUUCUUCUUCCCCUACUGAAGCUCUUCUUCUCUUCCUUUCCACUGCUUCCUCCUACUAUGAGGUUUUAGCAACUCAACUUUUUCAUCUUGAAAUGAAUGAGAAACUGCUUCUUCUUUUUUUUUUUUCUAAAAUCUUUUUUUCAACUUUUUAUCUAGCUGGUAUUGUUACUCAUGUUUAGGCUAAGUUGGAUUUUACCUCUAAUACUGUAGAAAGGGUUGCUUCUAUACAUAUGAAUAUAGUAGUGAACUUUUCAUUGCAAUGUUAUAUUCUAAAAUUCCCACAAAAAGCAAACAAUAUCACAAUAUGCAAGUAUUACUUUUGAACUUCUUUUUUUUCAAUAAUUUUUGAGUGCUCCUUAUAAAAUGGUUGAUUGCAUAGGCUUGUACAUUACAAAUUUUUAAAUGUUCAGAGCAGAAGCAAUUAGAAGUGUGUAUUAAUACAGUUCCAAAAUCGACCGAAUACGCAAUCGAAACAACUAAAUCUGCAUAGAAGCAAAAAAAACAAACAAUAAAAUUACAGCAAGAACAGGAUGGAUAACUCUGCAGGCACUGUUUUUCGGAUUAUCGCCUGCGUGCGUAAUUGCGGCUUCUUGAUGCUUUACACAUGCAAAUGAGUGUCAUAAACAUGAUUCAUUGGUAAUAUUUCUUUGUUGUAAUAUUAGCUCCCGAUCAUCCAAAUUGUUUCGGUUUAACACCUUGUCUUGUAAUCAGGUUUCAAGUUACUGAUAUGGAUUUGUAAAAAUUUAGAGCAUUUUUGUUUCGCAUGCUAAAUUUUCUUUCAAAAUGCAGCUGUCGAUCUAAUGAAAAAUGUCCGCGUGCAAGCAAUUAUCGGGCCGCAGACAUCGACAGAGGCCAAGUUUAUAGUGGAACUCGGAAACAGAACUCAGGUGCCCAUCAUAUCAUUUUCUGCGAAGAGCACAUCUCUUUCGUCGCAGCAAACUCCGUAUUUCAUCCGUACCGCAUGGAACGAUUCUACGCAAGCGAAAGUGAUUGCCUCCAUAGUUCAAACCUUUGGUUGGCGGGAAGUCGUUCCGGUGUAUGAGGACACCGACUAUGGUAACGCAAUGAUCCCUUAUCUUAUUGAUGCUUUGCAAGAUGUCGGCGCUCACAUGCUCCAUAGGUGCAAGAUUCCGCUUGAAGCUACUGAUCAAGAAAUCAUCGCCACCCUCUUAAAUUUGAAGUACAAUUGGACCAGGGUUUUCGUCGUCCAUAUGUCGUAUAAUCUAGCAUUUAAGUUUUUCAAGAAAGCAAAAGACCUCGGAAUGAUGGAAUACAGCUAUGUGUGGAUGACGACGUACGGAUUAACCGACAUCGUCGACCUGAUGGGUCCUCCUGCCGCUGAAGUCAUGCAGGGUGUACUGGGUAUAAAGCCUUAUGUUCGAGAGACGGACAAGCUCCGAGACUUUAGAGUUAGAUGGAGGAAAAGAUAUUGGCAAGAAAAUCUCAAUUCCUCGAUAACUGAGCCUACCGUUUUCGGGCUAUGGGCGUAUGACACGGUGUGGGCGCUGGCGAUCGCAGUGCACAACGCUCGCAUUACCAGUUCGAGCUUUCGGAAUUCUGACACGAGCAGCAGUUCGACUGAUCUUACGAGGAUCGGGCAAUCUCAGACCGGAGAAAGACUUCGAGAAAAGAUGUCGGAAGUCAAUUUUUCUGGGAUGGCCGGGAAAUUCAGAUUGAUCGAAGGGCAGCUGCAGUCGGGUGCGUUCGAGAUCGUUAAUGUGGUAGGGAAGGGGAAGAGAAGGGUGGGGUUUUGGACUUCAGUGCAUGGGGUUUCUAGAUAUAUUGACAGGAAGGGUGACCUUAGAGUUCUCGUCUGGCCUGGGGGUAAAACAGAUGCACCUAAGGGAUGGCAGUGGCCGACAAAUCGAACUCUCAAAAUCGGCGUGCCCGCGAAACGUGGAUUUGCUGAAUUUGUGAGGCAGGAUCCGGAUGGAGUUUUUAGAGGGUAUUGUAUCGAUGUAUUCAAAGCUGCGCUUCAUGAAUUACCAUACAAUGUCAGCGUCACUUACGUGCUUUACGGGGAUGGGCAUGGAAAUAUGAACGGCACAUACGAUGAGCUUGUUUACCAGGUUUAUCUCAAGGUUGGUUUGUAUCUAUGCACCUAUCUUUUUUGAUUGACGGUGUGAAAUCAACUUACUAUCUGAAUCGUAUACAUCACAAAUGCCUCAAAAACAGGAGUUAGAUCUCGCAUCAUACAUAAGCUUGACGAGCAAUGUGGGACUAUUGAAAUGUCACAUACUCCCUCUCUUUUUAGAUCUUGAUGUUUCUCUCAGCCCAAUCACACACAUAGCCCAAAAUACUUGACACAGUUAUUAGUCCUAGUGUGCCCUUUACAUAUAAGCCCCUCACAUUAUCCCAUAUUAUCCAAUGCAGGACUAUUGGUAUGUCACAAUUAGUAUGCCUAAUGGCUGGUAUAGAUCCAUAUUUCAGUAGUAGAAGGCACAAAAUGCAUGGUGGCAUAACUUCAGCAUGUUAUUUUGCUUGAUUUCUUCUGUUACUGUUUACAGUAUUGUGAAAUUUUGGAGAAUAUUUGUACCAUUGCAGUGUUUUAGAUUACAUAUGCGGUUUUCAGGAUGACAAUGUCUCAUAGUCCCACAUGCUUUCUCAUGGACUACUAUAUUUAAGAUCAUCGAUCUUGAGUUCGUCAUUUGGACCGGCAAUUGAGCUCUAUGUCCUGUUGGGGGAUAUAUUGUUGAUCAUAGUAAAUUGACUUUUAUGUGGAAUUUAUUUGCAAUUGUUUAGGACAGUAUUCAAUCAAACUUACAUUUCCUAGUGUGAUCAAUCUGUUUUACUCUCUGUUUCGCUUCAUUUACAAAUUUGUGCCAACUACAGAAUUUCGAUGCCGUUGUGGGUGACAUCACGAUCAUCGCCAACCGAUCUCUUUAUGUGGAUUUCACUCUUCCCUAUUCCGAAUCCGGGGUUUCCAUGGUGGUCCCAAUCAAGGAUCAGCGCCGCAAAGACGCGUGGACCUUCCUCAAGCCACUAACCGCCAAUCUCUGGUUGGCAACUGGCGCCUUCUUCGUCUACACCGGUUUUGUAGUCUGGUUCAUCGAGCACCGAAGCAACGAGGAAUUCAGAGGAAGACCUGCGCAGCAACUCGGCUCAGUCUUCUACUUCUCUUUCUCCACACUCGUGUUCGCCCAUAGAGAGAGAAUAGUGAACAACUCAUCAAGGUUUGUGAUGAUCAUCUGGGUCUUCGUUGUGCUGAUACUGCAGCAAAGCUACACCGCGAGCUUAACCUCGAUUCUGACCGUGCAACAACUUCAGCCGACAGUGACCGAUCUGGACCAACUGAUUAGGAGCGGCAGCUACAUCGGAUAUUUGAAUGCGUCUUUCAUGCCUGGUCUCUUGAGCCGGUUGAAUGUUGAUCAGUCGAAGCUAAUAGCAUACGACUCUCCUGCCGAAUAUAAUGAGGGUCUGUCCAAUGGGAGUGUGGCGGCUAUUAUUGAUGAGAUACCGUACCUUAGAGUGUUCCUUUCCAAUUACAGCAACAACUACACCAUGAUCGGACCGAUAGCUAAAGUCGACGGAUUUGGAUUUGUAAGUAUAGACUCCCUCUCUCUCACUGUUCUAAAUAUGCUUCACAUAUACAGUCCCAGUUCUUUUAUUGCAUUGGAUUUCUCAAAAUCUCCAGAUUCAUCCAAAGUUGUUGUUCUUUUAUUUCGACAGGCGUUCCCUAUUGGUUCACCGCUGGUCCCGGAUCUCAAUAGGGCAAUCCUCACCGUCACGGAGAGUAAGAAAAUGACUGAAUUCGAGAACACGUUAUACGGGAACAGAACUUGCUCGGACAAUGAAGAUAGUACAGCAACUUCUUCCAGCAGCCUCACUUUCAACAGCUUCUGGGGUCUGUUCCUCAUCACCGGAGCGUCCUCCGUAUCCGCGCUGAUUCUAUCUAUUAUUUUCUUCGCUCUUCAGCACCGCUGUAUAUUGAGAGAUCGGUACUUGGAGAAAUCUUUUCUGCAAAGGUUGGCUCUGUUUCUCAAGCUCUACUAUGAGUUUGAAACUUCGUCUCAGAAUCGCCAAAAGGAGGAGGAACCGACGGUACCGCAGUUAUUGGGAGCUAACAACAUGGCUUCGCCUCGCGUAGAUAACAGACCGGAGAGCCCGUUAAGCUUCUCUAACCACACGCAGCGACAAUUUGAUUCUGAUAGUGAUUUAGGGACUCUGACAGGAGGAGAAUCAGAAGCAGAAGCUGAAGCUGAAGCUGAAGCUGAAGUUGAUACAGAAGGCGGCGACACGCCUGGAAGGGAAAUCACAAGUCAAGUCCCGGACCCUCCAUCAUUUGCAGACAUGCUCAGUGAAAGCGAUCGAUAGAUUCCUAUCUCUCUGGCCUGCUCGAAACUUAAAGCCAAGAUGCGUAAAGGACAUUAUGUAGGAAGACUGUAUCAUAUAGUUCCUCGGAUAAUCGAAAAUUGGGCUAAGACAUGUAACUUUUUGUUCUCAGAUGAUUUUCCUAAACAUCUGUUUGUCUGCUGUGUAUUAUUAAUAUCACCCUGCCAGAUUUAUAAGUAUUCGGCGACAUAUUCGCAAUUUUAAGGGUACUGUGAUGUGGCCAAUUUGGCGUUAGAAUUUCUGAAAAAAUGCGACUUAACUAAGUCGAGUUGACAAUCCUGUUGAGUUCGAUAAUUUUUACAAUCGGUGUGAGAAAUCUUUAAACGGCCACAACUUUUCGCUCGAGAAUCUGAUUUCAGCGUGCAACUCAAAUUCGGAAAACACUUUUCGAGUUCUAAGCGUUGAAUCGUGAAACCAUUCUGUCCGAGUUUGGGACCCAGAUUUAAUUGUUUCGGUCUCCAAUUUUGCAUUUUUAGAUUAUUUUCAAAAAUUUUUGUAUUUUUUCUAUUUUUAGUUUGAUUAUUUGAUUAUUUUCUUAUCCGAGAAGGUUUAGAGAUAUAUUAUGAUUUACUAUCUUCGUCUAAUAGGAGUCAGGUGUCGCCUAUACAUAUAAGCAUGACAUUCAGAUAUUACGAGCAGAGUUUUUAGAAUUGAUUAAUAAGACUUUCAUCUUUGUCGAAGAAUUGGUUCUUCAUGUAUCAUCUCUUUUCGUUCUUAUGCUUCUUUCCUCUCAACGCUGUUUAGGCCUGCGUCAUGCUGAAACAUUUAAUUGCACUAGAACUUAAUUCUCAUCGGAUCCGAUUUUGAGGAUACAAACCCACAAUUUUGUGCCUGAUUUAAAUCAGAUUAUUUGUUGCUGUUCAUUGGCACCAUUACACACGGAAAUCACCAUUUUAACUCUUAAUGUUGGAAGGAGAGGAGUAUUAAACUAAAAAUUUUAUUAAAUAUUUUUGAACUAAAUUUCGGUGGUGGAUUAAUUUUCCACACGUUUACACCAGUUUAUAUAUAGGCAUAAAUCAAAAUCCUAAUAGUAAUAAUUGAACAAGAUUUAAACUUAUCUCUUAUGUCUAACCAAUAAAAUAUUUAGAGAUAAACUUGACAGAAAUAAAUCUAAACUUAUCAAAAAUAUUGGGUUACUUAUCAACACUUAAUUCCAUGAUUUUGUCACCAUUAUUUUUUCUCCUAGUGAGCUUUUUGUCUUGCAAAGAUGCUCUUUUACCUAUUACAAAAUACAAAUGCAUACAUAUUGUAAAAUCAAGUGCAUGUUAAAUAAAAUUUUUUUAUUUAAGAAACAGAGGAGUGUUUGGUUCCUUGGAAGAGUCAGGGAAAAAAGUUCUUCAUCGAAAACAUUAUUUUUCGGAGUUUUUAUUUUUCGGAUAAAAAAUUUAGAGAACGAAAACACUAUUUUUCUAUUUAUUAGAAAAAAUAGUUUUUCUAAAAAUCAAAUGAAUGAAAAAUAUUUUUUCAGCUAAAAAAUUGUUUUUGGUAUAUUUUUCGAAGAAUCAAACACACAUGUUGAACAUUUGCAAUGCAAUUCCAAAUUAGGCCUCACAUCUCUUGUUCACACUUUAAUAUUUUUCUUGCAACCUCUCUUUUACUUUUUUAAGAUCAAAGCAUCUAAUUGUUUCUAUUGUAAUGAAAUGUCCUUCUCUUAUUUCUUUUUUUGUUGCAAUUUUUUUUUUUAUUGGUUUCUAAGUCAAGUAUUUUAACUUGUUUUUAUAUAAUUUAUAAAGUCAAACAAUGAAGAUGUCAAUUUCUUGGUUGGUUGAAGAAAUUGAAUUUCUUCAACCAACCAAGAAAUUGGAAAGUGGUUUCUAUUCACACACUUUUGAUUCGGUUUGACUAUCUCAUUUAGAUAUAAAAAAAUUGAAAAAAAAUCUCUUAAUAAACUCCAAAUUAAAUCUUUUAAUCAUGCUUUGUCAUUCCCUACCCAAUAGCCUAAUUGUCAAAAAACUAUAUAUAUAUUCCCUUUGACCUCUCUCUCUCUCUCUCUCUCUCUCUACUAUCGAUAGCACCAAGGAUUUGGUGCUAUCGAGUUUUUCACCGUUAGAUUUAAGCCUUUGAUUAUUUUUACCCGGUAAAUUAUACUAUUCAACCAACCACUCACUCAACGCUAGGGAGUCCACAUUAUUUUAACCAUUCAUUUCUCAAUCCAAAGGCUAAAAAAUAAAUAGCACCAAUAUAUAGCUUAGUACUAUUGAUAGUAUUUCAGCCUAGUUCUAUAUAUAUAUAUACAUAUAAGAAUAUCCAAAAUUUAUAGACGAAGAUAGUACAAAAGAUGGAAGUGAAUUUAUUCUCUAAUUAAAUAAUACAAAUACUCUAUCAAACCUUAUUAAUUAUUUUCCUUAUAUACACUACUGGGGUUUAGCACUAUGAUGUGUCUACUACUUUAGUUCCAUCUCUUUCACUUAUUAGUUAUUUAAUUAGUGUGACAAUUGUUAACAUAAACAUAGUGUAAAUGUGUAUGAAUUAAGUGAGAUCAAGACCUUGCUUUUUGACUUUUGACAAAUAUAUAUAUUCAACAUCCAAAAGCAAACAAAAAAAUUAAUUAAAGGUAUUCCAUUUUGUACUAUAGUGAAAAAAAAAGGAGAAAAUAUAUUAAUUAAUAACAAAAUUGCUGGUACUUUUUUCAAUUGCACUAAACAUGACCUAAUUAAUGUCAAUUGAAAGAGAAAAAGUACAUGAUCUAGAUUAAGGAAUUAUUAAUGUAAUACCAGUAUAAUUUUUUUCGUAAUAUUACAUAAGUGAUCGAUCAAAUUAUUUAUUUUCUUUGUACUUUCUUAUCAUGUCAAUAUAAUUUACGCGACGCUUUGCUAAUUAACUAUGAAAACACACGAAAUACUUUUUACCGUGUCUACGUAACGUACUACAUGCGAUCCAAAUCAAGGUCUUUAGUAGUGUGCUUAAUUAGGGUCUAAGUUAGAGUUUAAUUUCCAAAGAGCAUGGAAGAAGAAGACCAAGUCAUCAUUUGAGUUACUAUCACCAUCAAUUUUAUUCUCUCCUAAACAUUUUCUAAGAAACUCCUUUAGGGUGCGUUUGGUUCGCGUUAUCUUUUAAAGAUUUCUAGUAAUCCAAUGGGAAUAAAAAAAUAUGACGGUGUUUGGCUAAACUCGCUAAGUAAUCUAGUUGGUAAUAUUAGAUUCACUUGGGAAUAAGAUUCACCCCAAAGUACUAAUCUCAUUCCCUUGAGGGAGGGUGGGUAUCCUCAUAUUAAUGGAUUGGGGUAAUCAUAAUAUGUCUAAUCUCUUUCUUUCUUCCUAUCCGCCGGCUAAUUGAUAUUAUUUUUCUUUACACUCUAACCUUAUAUCUCUCUCUAAACUUAUUUUUCUCUCUAAAAUUCAACUUUUUUUUCUCUCUCUAAACAAAGCUUUCUCUCUCUCUCUCUCUUUCUAAAAUUUCAACUCUCUCACUUCCUUUAAUUUCGACUAUAUUUUUCUUUUUAUUUUUUUAAUUAUGCUCUCUCUCUCUAACUUAUAACUCUCUCUUCCUUUUUUCUAAAAAAAUAUUGAAACUUUUGAUAACAUUAUUUAAAAUUAAAUUAAUUAAUUAAUUAAUUAAUUGUAUAUUUUUUGUAAUGUUAAAUAACAUGGCUAAUUAAUAUUACCGUGCGAACCAAACACAGGAAUUCCACAUUCUUAGUAAUAGGAUGAAUAGGGAUAAGAUUUUCGGAUAUCUUUUAUUCCUAGUAAUCUUUCAUAAUGCGAACCAAACGCACCCUUAAAUUAAUUCAUUAUGGUAAUUAUUUAUAUCUUUUCAGAAACAAUUACUCUAAUGUAGUUUGACUUUUUUUGCUGGAAUUUGCACUGAAACUAUCCAUUGCUUUAAGCCAUUUUACUUGGGUCGACUUAAUUAAUUAAUCACAAUUAUAGCUAAGAUGUGGCGCGCCUUGAUUAAUUAAUUCCUAAAGUUCCAUAGAUCCAUAAACUAUCUCAUAUUAAUUUGCAAAUAGUAAUUUUUAUCCUUAUUUAUUCCAACUAUCAUUAAUAUAUUAUUAAUAUAUAAUAGAGCAAUGUGAUCUGUACAUCUACAUGAGUGUAAGAUUUAUACUCUAGCCAUUCAUAAGUUAAAAUUUUUUCAUUUAUUUUAUCCACUUUUCUUUAAUGCUAAAAUUCAAAAACAAUUUUUCUUAAGUUCUAAAAUCAUGGGACGUAAGAUUUAUACUUGUUAAAUAAUACGAAACAACUAUUAUUUUCUAUUUGCCUUUAUUUGUCUUUUUUUAUUUUGGUUGCCUUCAAUAUUUUCCAAGGCCGUGUUGCCUCAACCCUUGUAGCUAAAUUCGACUGCUAAAUGAAUGAAGCCUAUAGCGUGCUAUCUUUCUCUCUCUCUCUCUAAAAAAAAAAAAAAAAAAAAAAAAAACCAUUAUUUUCUAAUAGCUUAAGAUCUUAAAUUAAAUAAGAAAAAAACAAACCAGGCUAAGAGACCGACUGUUUCUAACGCAAGUGGUAAAGGACUUAAUGGUUGGUACUCAAGGUUCUAAGUUUGAAACUUAAUUAAUUCAUAUUUUAGCUAAGUUUAUUUUUUAAAAAAAUAAAUUUAAGAAAUAAAACCCUUGUUUAAUUAGACACAUAUCCUCUAUAGUAAACUAUUACAACAACAACAACAAAAAAACACUUGAGGAGAUACUACUGGAGCACCAACCCUCAUAUUCCAAAAAAAAUAAAUGAAAAUAAAAAUAAGAUCCAAAAGUCAAAGUAAACGGAAAACACUAUUCCAACCGCGGGCCUCUGCAUAACACUUCAAACAUCCAAACCUAUACAUAAAUACAGCAUAUAUAUAUAUAUAUAUAUAUAUAUAGAGUCUAGCUACUAUACUUUUAUGAGUAUAGAGUCUAUUGUACUCAUAAGUUUUUGGCCGUUAUAUCUGUCCUUUAAUCAAUUUCACCCGUUAGAUUAUACUAUUCAACCAACCACCCACUCAAUCCUAGGGGACCGACCCACUAUCAACUUAACCGUAACUACUUUUAUCUUAACCGCACAUUUUUUUCAUCUGAACGGUCGAAAACUUAUAAGUACAAAGGGCACUAUACUCAUAUGAGUAUAGUAGUCCCAGUCUAUAUAUAUAUAUAUAAUGUGUGUGUGUGUGUGUUUGUAUGCGUAAAAAUGGUGCUUGAUCUGCUUGUUUACUGCUACUUGUUAUGCUUCUUCGUUUUUGCCGGUGUCGGCCGGUUCGUCUACACGGCUACAGUCGUAAAUGUAGGCGCACUCCUCGACCUCAAGUCGGUCGGGGGAAAGGCGAGCUUGGCGAGCAUCGAGCUCGCCGUCGAGGACUUCUACGCCGCGCAUGGCGACUUCGCGUCGAGGUGGUGGUGCAUGCCCGGGAUUCUAAGGCCGACGAUGUUAGCGCCGCCUCGGCAGGUAAUAAUAAUAAUAAUGAUAAUAAUAGUAUUAAGAGAGAGAGAAUUCGACUACUAUACUACACUAUGAAUAUGAUUAUAUAUCUUUCUACUUAUAUAUCAUUUUUAGUAAUAGAGCUUCUAAAUGGAUGAUCUAUAUUGCUAAAUAUGAUUUAGUAUAAUAGAAACCGAUAAAAAUUAAAUUUUAAAAUUUUUAAAUAUUAUUUACCACAUGAUUAAAAAAUUUCAAAAUUAAUAAUUUUUAAUAGCCAAUAUAAAACACAUGCCAAUUUAACAAUUUAAAGAAUUGAAAUCUGUUGAACUUUUAAUAGAAAAUUUUAUUCAUUAUCUAGAUAAAAAUUAAUAACUUUGAUCUUAAAUUGAAGAUUCAAUCCUCUAUUUUAAGGAGUUCGUCAAUAUUCACUAUUUAUUUUUUGCCCAUUCAAUAAUUAUAUUAUAAAUUCAAAAAAUUAUGAAAAAAAGAUUUCAAAUAUUUUAAAUUAUAUUUAAUGAUAUGGGUCGUCGAUUCGACAAUUUUAUAUUCAGAAAAGAUUUAUCAGUACGAAGAUAUUCAAACUCAUAAAAGUGUGUGUAUAUAUAUAUAUAUAUAUAUAUAUAUAUAUAUAUAUAUAUAUAUAUAUAUAUAUAUGGUCCUGCUACUAUACUAUUAUGAGUACGAUCGCUCUCGUACUCAUAAGUUGUUUUCGAUGAUAGAGCUUCCGACUCGACAAUCCAUACCGUUAAACGUUAUUCACAGCAUUUAAAACUUCUAGAAAUCAAAUUUUAUAAUUUUUCGACAUCAUUUACCUUAUGAUCAAGAGGUCACAAAUUUGACAAUUUUUAACGGCCGGUAUGGGAUACUUGCUAGUUUAACAGUGUAAAAGAAUCGAAAUUUGUUGAAUUUUUGAUAGAAAAUUCUAUUCACUAUAUAGAUAAAGGUCAAUAACUCUGAUCUUGAAUUGAAGGAUCCGAUCAUCCUUUUUUAGGAUGUCGUUCGAUUUAGACCGUUCAUUUUAUGCCCACUUGAUGGACUUUAUUAUGAUUUCGAGAAUUUACGAAAUUUAUUUUCUAGAAGUUUCAAACACUCUAGAUCAUAUUUAACGGAGUGGAUCGUCGAUUCGGAAGCUCCAUUAUUAAAAAUAACUUAUGAGUACGAGGGCUCCAAUACUCAUAAUAGUAUAGUAGCCACGGCCUAUAUAUAUAUAUAUAUAUAUAUAUAUAUAUAUAUAUAAUUAGGCUGGAAUACUAUUAAUAGUAAAACGUUCUUUUUGCUAUCAAGUUUUUAACUCUUGAAUAGAAAAUUGUAGGGUCAGAAUAAUAUUAGUAGGUUAGAGUUGAGUGGUUCCCCUAGGGUUGAGUGGUCUCUACUGGAUUAUAAUAUUUAAUCCAAUGGUUAGAAAUAAUGAAAAUAGUUAAUCCAAAGGCUAAAAAACUGGUAGCAACAAUGAGAUUUUGCUAUUAAUAGUAGCCCAGUCCUCUCACAGCAUUGUGACGACUACGACAUGGUCGGCCGGAUAUACAAAACUGGUGGAUUUGGGUUUGUAAGUUCGUCCCCAUCGUGCCGUGCGUAGGGGUGGAAACGAGCCGAGCUCGAGCGAGCUUAUGUCAGCUCAAAUUCGGCUUGAAAUUAAUUUCGAGCCUAAAUCUAGGCUCAAGCUCGGCUUGAAAUUAAUUCGAGCCGAGCUCGAGCGAGCCUAAUUUCGAGUCGUUGGGUUGUUCAUGUUUGCACGUUAACUCGGGUUGAGAUUUAAAUGUAUUGUGUGAGAGAGAAAGUUUGAAAAUGACAACGUGUAUUGGGAUUUUGUACUAUUGUAAGUUUAAAAGUUUAGGGAUGAAAAAAAGGAGAGAGAGAGAGAGAGCUUGGGAGUAGCUCAGUCCCUCAGUGGAAUCGAGUGUAAAGAAUAUUAAUAAAACAUAAAACUUGAUAACUUGUACAACGUACUUUAACAUCCAUUACAAUAUAUUUUUAAUUUGAUAACUAAUAUAUUACAGCUCUUAAAGUUAGCUGAGCAAAUCUCGAGCUUGAGCCGANUCCGUUAGAUCAUACUAUUUAACCAAUUACCCACUCAACCCUAGGGGACAACUAUCAUUCUAAGUGGGGACCACCAUCAUCCUAACCACACAUCCCAUCAAUCAACGGUUAAAAAUUUAUGAGUAUAAGGGGGUCUAUACUCAUAAGAGUAUAGUAGCCCCGGCCUAUAUAUAUAUAUAUAUAUAUAUUUUCGAGCUUUUCGAGCUUUUCGAGCCUAAUUCGAACGAGCCGAGUAAUACUCAAGCUUGGCUUGAAAUGAAUUUCGAGCCUUAUAUUUUGUUCAAGCUCGGCUCAUUUAAUUUCGAGUCGAGCUCGAGCGAGCCGAAUAUCGAGCCGAACACGAGUCGAACGCGAGCCGGCUCGCUCGUUUGCCAGCCCUAGCCGUGCGCACAUCUUGCUUUCCUGAAAUUCUAUCAUAGCACUAUCAAUGCCUGUUUGGUCUGACUUUUGUAACAGCUUGUCUACUAGGAAAAGGAAGAGAUCCUGACUUAGGAAAUAUUUUUCUCCUUGAUCUUCUCUUCGUCAUUUGAUUCUCUUAUAUAUACUCUGCAGGUUUUUCCGAGGAACUCUCCGCUAGUGGCUGAUGUAUCGCAGGCCGUCUUGAACGUGACGGAGGGCGCGCAACAAGAUCUUGGAGAUCGAGCGGAAAUGGUUUGGCGAUCAGCUGAGCUGCUCGGGCCAACGAAGCAGCCUCACCUCCACGACUCUCGACCUCCAAAGCUUUCGAGGGGUGUUCAUCAUCACCAUCGCUCUAUGGGGACUCGCAUUCAGGCCUACCUCGUUUACUCGCUGCGCAAGAACAUGCACACACUGCAUGCCAUGUCCGAAAGUUCGCGCUGGAGACGACUACUCGCAUCGUUUAAAGGCUGCAGUUUUAAAGGCAACAGCAAGAACGAAGAAGAUGGAGUUGUUGUGGAUGAAGGGGAGUCUAACACUACCGAGCAAGCUGAGGAAGUUAGGGUAAUGGGAGAUCUCAAUGGUUUGGAUAACACCCAAAGCAUCUAUGCAAGUAUGGACUCGCCGGAUGCAGCGUCGGAGCCGAACACACCAGGCCGGAGGCUAAGUCCGCGGUAGGUCAUACCAACAGUGUGGAUUGCAUACUUCUCAAAGAGUUUAAAUUCAAUGGGUCCCCAGAGAUUUAGUGCAAAACGCUAAAGUUUCAUAGAAUGUGCCUGUACAAAGCAACAAUCUGCUUUAAUUUCAAAUAGAAGCUGCUGAGAAAUAACCUUUGAUCAAAAACUGUUGUAAAUCGUAAACAUGUACACCCAAACUAAACACGUGUACGCAAAUAGAACUUCUGUAGAAGCUCUAGUUAAGCCAAGCAGACCCGACAUUUGCCGUGAUUGUAAAAUAGACCAAUUUACCGUCCUACGAUUUGAACUUUACCAUUCAGUAGUUUGUAAAAUGUAUCGCUUUGCUGCCUAUAUAAUCAUUACAGUGAAACAGAAAUACGAGAACAAAAUGGCAGAGUUCAACUUUUCAAAUUACAUUAAUGGCAAAGUGUAAAUGUGCUAAACCACAGGAGGGUUAGUUGAAACUUUUACCCUUUUUAUUUUCUACAGAGGCUUUUGUGUUGUUUCCAAUUUUUCACAUGCAAAAUGAUCCACCUGGAAAAAUCUUACACGGAAGUGUAAGAUUAUCCUCAAAUAUACAGAAUGCCCACAUAAUUAAUAUAGCUCAUGCUCAAGACAAGUAUUUUAGAAAACUUUUUAACUCUUGAAUCAUGCACGUGACAGGUAUAUUACGAAACACAAUAGCAUGAUACAAAAUCAAAUAGAUGCUGAAAAGCUACUGAUCAAAUCUAUUUCUACAUAUGAAAUUUUACAACAAAGCAUUUUACCCUUCUUGCCUGAAUGGAGGCCUUAUAACCAUAAAGGCUUUCGCUGGCUCGCCUCCACAUUAUAUCCCUAACAGCAACAUGCCCUGCAUAAAUUGACGGUCGGCUUCCCUGUGAGUAUUUCUUGAUUAUAAUGAUUUCAUGGAAUAGGGAAAUUAAUGUAUUCAUUUCCAAAUUUGCUCACUCUGAUGAACAAAGCCCAUACGAGGAGUAAAUACAGGAUCUACAGAGUUUUAAGUUUCAGAUAUAGUAAUAUAGUGUUUCUGAGAGUGUACUCAGUAAAUCUUGGUAAGUACUGUCAACAUUGGAGGAUCCUAUACUUGUGUACCUGAUUAAUGAUGAAAUCAUUCCCCACUAAGCAUAAGCGAGUGAAAAGGGACUUUCUUUAUCUCCACAAUCGUAGAGUACUCAUUGCUUAAUGGUUGCUUCCAUGGUUCUCCAUCCAUCUGCAAGUAAGCUCGGCUCCACUGGCCGCCUCUCAUUUCCAAUUUGACUGCAGCAGCCUGAAAAAGAGCCAUCAUUUUGAGUACGCAUGUGUAGAACCAUAUGGUUUUAUCAGAACUUAGUAGUACUAUGAUUCACUAAUUAUAGAAAAUUAUCAUGACUUUGUCCACAACAACACAAACUAACGGAAGAUGAUGUGGUCUAACUGAUGGAGUGAACAAGUUGUUCUGUAAAACUUCCAAAAACGUUACGAUCAUAUUGCUGUUUCCUCCGAAGCUUGCAUUUUGUGGGAUUUAUUUCUAAGAAGAAUGGUAAUGAACACUCUAUCUUCAAGUGCCAGCUCAUUUAAUUUUGUCCACAAUAUUUAUCGCAUUAAAAUUGAGAUUUUCUCUAAAAAAGCAGUAUAGUCCAAUGCCUCUUCCAAUGAAGUUCUUCGAACAAAUCUUCCAAAACAUAAAACUCCCAGCAAAAGUCGCCAGCUGCAUUAUGAAAAGAAAAGGGCAUCUAUAUUUGUGGCACAAUUUGCUAGCGAAAUGUUUACCAAAGUGUCAAUAUCUAUUUAUAUUCAUCAAUGUGUUUGGUUUUAGAACACCAAAUGAAAGGUUGCCCCUAAAAGUGGUACCUGAGCCAUGUGUUUCGCAGAAAUUAGUUCAGUCAUGACCAAUGAAGCGUGCCAUCCUUGCUUUAGCCCAAAAAUUUCGAGCAACCCAUCAUCCACAUGUGCUUCGACAAAGCCUCUCUAAGGAAGCAGGAAGAACAUGGAUUAGUAUAAUUGAAAAUAGAUGCCAGCCACAAUUUACUUGUUGAAACUCAAUGCAUAUGCGUAUCUCUCUAAACGAAUGAUGAUAAAACCUUCUCUAGAUAUUCAGGCUUAAGAUCACCCCAAGGAUGUCUUCCGCUUCCAUAAUUGUUGAGAUUUAACACCACAAUUGCCCUAACACUGCAGCCAAAUAAGACCAAUUAAAACAGCACACUAUCAAACUAAUGGAAAAUCUGGAGUAAGAUUAACAGCAUAGCCCAUGAUGUGAUGCAACUGCUCAAUGGACACUAAAAAAAUGUUUAAGCCACAAACAAACAAUGUAAAAGAUUGUCACAAUGGAUGCAACAAUUUUGCAUGUUUAAAUAUUAGAUGAAUUUCACAUCUUGGUGACAAAGAAAUGGCAACUUGCCUUGAUGGAAUAGAGAUUUGCUCCCAUUCUGAGCAGUUGACCUUUUUCACAUAAAGACGCAAAAUAUUAUUAAGGCCCCUGCAUACAAGAAUUUCUAAAUUAAUACAAUAAAAUGAUCUAUUUGGAAAUGCAUGGGAGAAUGAGUAUCAAAAAACUAAGUCCCUAUUUGGAAAGGACGAUGUUUGAAACAACUAAAGAGAGUAGCAGCUGUGAAAAGACAACCUUAAGCCUGGAGUGCUGAUACAAGGUGUACAAAACCACCCCUGAGUGCAGCUAUAUCCAGAAUAUAUCAACUGCAUAAGACAUUAGAUUAUUAGCAUGCAUGAUCAACAAGAUAAAAUGAUUUACAGAAAAUAAUUAAACGUAUUCCAAAGUUCAACAAAUAAGAGCAAAGCUACAGUCAAACUGUAAAGUGGCUAUUAGCCCAGCAAAGGGAACAGAGCCACUUAAUAAAGUUCUAUCAAGAAGAGCUCGACAAUGGAAAGCAUAAGCAUCAGAGUGUAAAAAAUGUGAAUGUUAACUACUGUAAUUAGAAUUAGUAACCAACUUUAAACUAUCUUAGAAAUAUGUGAAUUUGUAGUAAGGACACAAGAUUUGGUUAGUCAGAUAAUGAAACUAGAGUCUUCAAAAUGACAUUGCAAUAAACUUUAUAAGUAGGCAACAAAGGAAAACUAAAAUGUGAUAUUUUAUCCUUAAGAAAGUUUUAGUUCAUUAAUUAAAGUACUGUCUGUUGCUACUAAGUCCAGAACUGCUUUCUGCGAUUGCACAAUCAAUACGAACAUGAAAUCAAAAGAAAAAGCAUCUAGCAUGCUUAGGCAAAAAGGAGAUUUGGCCAUUACUUUAUUUGAAAUUGGUCCCUGCGCAAGGUAUGGUUUCUCAUCUCGAAGAUGGUGGAAACCAUAUGCAACUUGAGCAUCCAUUCCUGCAUUUAAAUAUAUAAUAAGUAAGAAUCUGCAGAGGAACAGAGAAAACAUAAGAAUGAUUAGCUUAGGAAAGAUUACGACAAUUUUAAAUAUUCAGACAUCCAUCAAAAGGUGUUUUCACAUCCUUAAUCAAGCGUUAAUCUUUGACAUACUGACAUGCAGUGUAUUAAUAAAAUGCGUGAAAUGUAAAAAAGAAAAAUAACAAUUAGUAAAAUUAAAUGCUGGACAAUGUGCAACCUCUUCACACAUCUUCCUUUUAAUUGUGGCAAAUGAGGUAGUACACUGUCCAGCAUUUAAUUUAAUUGAUAUCAGAGGCACCCACAAAUCUAUGAUGGAUAUGAGUUCAAACAUAUGCUAAUACUCGGGAUUUCCCUACUGACAUGCUACAAGUUUUCUUGCCAAGUCAAACAGCCCAAUUUCUACAUAAUUAGUAAACUACAUUGAACAAAACAUUUAUAGUAAGAGGAAAGAUAGGACAGAGAAUCUAAGAAAUAGAUUUUAAAGAGCAGCAAGUAUACACUUGAUUAGAUCAUAGGUCAAGUAAAACUCAAAAAGAUGAAACCGAGACCAGCUAGCUUGAAAUUAAUUUCUAGAGACACUCAUGUCAACAUUAAUUGAAAGUUGGUUUUUUAGGAUCCUAUCAGACUCGAAAAAUAAUGAGUUACAGCUGCUGAUAGAGUAAUGAAACGCUUCAGGCCAUCAGAACUUGCAAAAGCUCAUGAUAAUCUAUGCAACACCGAGUUCGAAAAGUUACAUAUGCUUAAUUCACUAAAUUAAUACAUGAUAAUUGGGUUUAAUGCGACUGAAACAGGGAGUUUGUUAUAAGAAAUUGUAAUCACACCCAACAAAGCAUACCAAUGCUCAAAUAGUUAUAGAAUACUCCUUCAUAGCAAGAAGAUUUUUCAGGCAUUUCUCCUGAUAUGUCCAUAACCUGCCACAAGAUUAGCACUAUCAGAGAUUUCAGCAUUAAAUGUGUUCAAUAUGUAAGAGUAACUAAGAAAGGUAGAAGUCUGGGAAUAAAAUAUGGUAGAAACUAGAAAUUUGCAAGAUUCUAAAAACUAAACAAGUUCAAAUUUUCCUUUUUAAAAAACAAAACAGGAUUAAAAACAUUAAUUAGCCAAAAGCACAACCAGAGAACAGAGUUACAAUCAAUAGCCAAAAGCACAACCUGAGUAGAAUCAAACUGUUCUGUCGGACUGAGUGAGUAUGGCCGUUCUACUAAUUCUCCUCCUGGCAUGACAACUACAACUCGCCAACUGCACAAAGGCAAUUGCAAAUUGAGAUGACUAUGAAUUCCGUAAUGUUGCUCAUUUAUAACAUUUGUUAAUCACUGUAAAUAAAUACGACAUAGACUUCCAUAUCAAAAGGAAAACAUCUCUUUGAAGCAAGACUGACAGAACAGGACAAUCACAUUACUACUAGAACCAAUAUAUGUUCAUUUCAAGUUUAGCGCUAGUAUCAAAUGUAAAAAUUUCUCUCGAGAAGCUCAUCUCUCAUAGCUUGAUCCCGCAAAUGUCUCAAAUGACUGCAAAUGACAAGAUUCAGCUACUUAUUGAGUAAUAAAGAUUUUCACAUGAAUUGUCAAACAAAACUCAGGAAAAUUUUCCUUCAAAUGCCUAAUGUAAGGAAGAAAAUAGAUUAACUACUUCAUAAUGAUUUUACCAACAAAUGUGAUAGGAAAAAAUGAUUAGUAAAAAAUCCUAAUGCGACUGAAAGUUUUAAAGGGUCGGCAUAACAGAAAAAAAAAUGCCACAAGCAUGAGACUUCUCCUUAGAAGUAAACGGUACAGUUCAAUAUUGAAAUUCUUGAUAAAGAAAUUAAAAGAGUAGAUAUUUUUAUAACCAAAUAAUGCUAUGUAAAGGUGAAACAAGUUGGGGGGAAGUAAUCUAUUUGCUUAUUUGUAGAAAACAACAAACUUAUCUGGCAUUCCUAGUAGGUUACACAAAGAAGGCAUGCCAGGUGAAACAUCUGUGUUGUACAGGAGCAACACAUAAUAAUCCAUGCCUACGCAACUACACAUUAGAAAUGGGCAACAGAUCCACUGCCCAACCAGUGAUGACACCAUUCUACAUUGCAUAAGGUAAAGAAUAAAACAUAACGCUGCCCAAAUGUGUAUAAGAAUACUUGUUGAGCUUCUAACUAGUAAAUUAAGUUCAACAACGAAUGGGACAAGAACGCUUACGACGAAUUUGAUGCUACCACUUAAGUUCAACAAAGGAAGGUAAAGAGAUCAUAGCAAAGGCAAAACAUCAAUCACCUAUCAAGACGGCGAACAGGAGCAUUAAUCGCCUUGUAGAGUGAACGCUUUACUGCUGCACGCCAUCCAAAAGGAAAAGAACCACCCUGCAGAGAUACUAGUCAAAGUCAAUCGACAAAAUCUCUUAGAAAAUCGAAAUUAAUUGACUCUAUAAUAAAAUUGCUUGAGCAUAGCAGCCAAAACAGAGCACUACUUACCCAGCCAAAAGUCCUGGAAAGGUCAUUGCCUGUUCCAAGUGGAAUAAUGCCGGUCGGAGGAACCGGUUCCCUUUUCAUCACAUGAAGUUCGGUAAAACUUCCUAACACCCAUCCAACUGUGCCAUCACCUCCUGCAACCUACUAUGAAGAAUCAAGAAUUGACAAUGCAUGAUUGAUGAACUCAUUGUGUUAUCCCUACUAUCUUAAAAAAGAGAAUAAGCUACUGAUUAAAAUACCAAUUCGGCAUACCAUAACCCUCAACUUCUCGCGAGUGGCCUUUGCGCAGAGAUCUCCUUGAUCAGCCAACUUCUCCAAGCACAUCAAACCGUAGCGGACGAAAUCAGGGGGCUUUGUGACUGAAAGAUCAAAGACCUGUGCAACAAACAUCGAAAAUUCGGUGAGUAUCAGGUUCACUUAACAAAAUAAACUGCUAACUCUCGGAACAGAGGUUACCAAUUUCACUCAUGAUUCUACAAGACAUAGAGCCAUUAAAAUUAGAACAAACCAAGACGUAUCAUUUGCAAUUUAGAAAUGAAUAAACUAGAAAUUAAAAGAAAACAACAUAAUUCUCAUUCAAUUUAUCUGAUGAUCGAAAUCAGAGAACCCGGACAAAAAUAUUACUAAUAAUCUGAUAACCUGGAUAAAAUAUUAAUAAUAAUCCAAUAAAUUCAGCAACAGUACUUUGUGAACUACUCUACAACAACGAAAUUUUCAAGAAAACCGAGAGAGAGAGAGAGAGAGAGAGAGAGAAGAGCGUUGGUUUCUCCACCUGUUCCUCGCUGAUGAGCUCUCGGAGGCGGAGAGUGAGGGCGGGGCCGUGCCUCCCACCGCUGCGGGAGUUGACGAAGACGACGAUGGGCGCCUCCGGCGCCGCCUCCUCCCCCGGCGCCGCCGCCGCCGCCGCCGCGGAGAGCCCGGCGCCGACGCCCUUCUCCCGCAUCGCCGCCGCCAUCGCCGCGCGGAGGCGCUCGGGGAUCACCACCCUCCGCCGCAGCUCCUCCUUGUCGACCCCCUUUCCCGGGAUCCCGCACCCCCUCAGCGACUCCCAUAUCGACACCCUCGCCGCCACCCCCCCUCCCGGAACCCCUUUCUCCGCCGCCGCCGCCGCCGCCGCCUUNNNNNUCUCUCUCUCUCUCUCUCUCUCUCUCUCUCUCUUGAGUCUCGACGCUACAGUGUGUGAGAGAGCGAAGCAAAAAAGCAGGGGUCGGAUUUAUACUAUAAAAAAAGAAAUAAAAAAAAAAUUGACCCAGAGUAUUUAAAGGGUUAAACUACUCUCUAAUUUUUAAUAAUAAUUUAAAUAAUUUUUGUUUUUUUUUUAGAGGGAAUUUUUUUUUUAUAUAUUCUUUUCUUGUGCGUGGGCUCUCCUGGUUUUUCCUCUGACGACCUUUUUUUUUAUAAAACCAAAAAAAAAAAAAAACGAGUCAAAAAUAUAAAAUUGUGUGGGCGAAAAGUGCCAGCGUGGCACAGCGCGGACGAAAAGCUAUUCCGUACACCGGGUUCAUCAGUUUAUUGGUCUAUACUGAACCUAUCUUAGGAUGCCGUGUUCUGAAAAUGCAUCAACCACUCAGUUACUUCACUAAAACUAUGUUAUUUGUAGCAAUAUCAAUUUCUCGUACCAAAAUCUCCCACGGUCUUUGCAUCCCCUGCAAUGCUGAUAUGCUUUUGCUGGACUAGUCUUUUGUGAAAUCUAUUAAUUUUUCUCGACUGAACACUUCGUACACACAUUCUGUUUCUUCGAUAAAAAGAAUGCACCGGGUGCAGGGAGUAAGAGAGAAAAAGGAAAAAGGGCCGAGAAAUAUUUGCCCCUGAGAAUGGAGAGAAUUACGGGAAUGCCACUGAUAUGUGGGCGGCGACUGUGGUUGGUGGGGUGGAGGAAUUAAUGGUGCGUCACGCGGGCUUGAUGAUGGAGUUGUGUUUGUGGUAGAGAUGGCAACGGGUCGGAUUCGGAGCGAAUUUUUAAAAAUUCGAACCCGAAUCCGACUACAAACUCGAGACCCGAAUUCGAAUCUGAAUCCGACGGAUUUUAAAAAUUCAUAUUCAAAUCCGAACCCGACCGAAAAUUCGAAACCCGAACCCGAAUCCGAAUCUGAAAAUUUGAACCCGAAACACUUAUUUCUUUUUUCAAUAUUUUAAAACAUAUUAUAUUAAAUCUAAAUUUUUAAAAUACAAAUUCAAAUAUAACAUCAAAUUUAUAUAUAUAUAUAUAUAUAUAUAUAUAUAUAUAUAUAUAUAUAUAUAUAUAUUAUAUAUAAUACAAAAUAAAUUCGGGUUCGGGUCGGGUUCUGGUUCGGAUCGGGUACAAUCAAAAUUCAUAUUCGUCAUGUUUCUAUUUUUUAUAUUCAUAUCCGAAUCCAUAUCCAUAUCCAUCGGAUAUAUCCGUUUCAUUCGGGUUCGGGUUCGGAUAAAAUUUCGGGUAUCCAUAUCCAUUGACAUCCCUAGUUUGUGAGAUUUUUUUUUUUGGUUAAUUUUAUAUAAAUUUUUAUAAAUAUAUUUUUAUAAAUUUUAAUUUUUAUAUAUUAUUUAUGUAAAAAUUUUAAUAAUUUUAAAUAUAUUCUUCUGAUUUAAUACCGUUAAAAUAUUAUUUAUUUUAUAAGUAAAAUAAUAUUUUUGGCGUAAUAUAUAAUUGAAGAGCGAUAAAAAGGUCAAUUUAUCUCAUUAACUAAUCAAGUUAAGUAUUUUAUCUAUGAUUAACUAAUUUUUUUAAUGGAUUCUAACGGUAGGAAUAUAUUUGAAAAUAUCAGAAUUUUUAUAGAGACAAUAUAUAAAAAUUAAACUUUAUAAAAAAAUAUGUAUAAUUUAUUAUAUUUAUAGGGACUGGUAUGAAAUUAACCUAUUUUUUCGAUAAUAAAAAGUUUGGA